rnacentral:lncRNA from 1 species
GGUCCUUGGGUUGCAUCCUCUUCCUACCUCAGGCUAUGUGUGGAGUGGGGGUGCCCGAGAACAUGCUGAAAAUGGUUGCGCCGGUCGAUCUACAUGUCGUAUGUACUUAAUCUGUCAAAAGUAUGUCGAUCCGAGUGUCGCUAGUUUGCACCGUGUGUGGAUUACAGCCCUUUCCUUCUUUUUUUGCUCUGGUGAUGUGUAAGUAAUUACAGAAUAUGGAGUCAACUCUUUGCCUGUUUGCACUGUCAUGCUACAUGUAUGAUAACUACUACUAGUAGUAUACUUUGGAAUGCUUGCUACUACAAGUUCAUUAUUUUUCUCCUGGGGUUUUGGUUACCGGUAGACAGGAGUUUACUUGAGCGCUUAUCUGGGGCAGCCGCGAGCGCGACACGCGUCCCGCCCGCGGCCAAAAGGACAGGUCCAAAACCGAAAUAACAAUGCAGCUGCUGCAUUGUGUAAGCAUAGUUUUUAGGCCAAGACUUGAGGUCAGCGGGUGGUUUAGUCGCGCGAUUAACAACUGGCGCGGCGCAAUUAUUGAGGCCAAGAUGCCCUAAUCGUGUGGGAACGGGCGCGGGACACCUGUCAUUAGCAUAGAUAAUUGCACGCAGCAGCCAAUCUUAAUCAGAGGCACGACCCUCAUUUCUUUACCAGCAGCACCAGAUACAUGCAUAUGAACAACCCUUAAUCUACUACUGCUGCCUGCUGUGGAUGCAGCUGAUUAGUGCCUGAUUUGCAUUUUGCAAUUGUUAGGGGUGUGUUAGAUGUGUCAUGCACACCACCCCAUUUGAAGUUUGACAAAGCUUAGGUUAUCCAUCCCUGGGGGAUGUGCCACCAUGCUGAUUGAUUAGUGGGCAGUGCUUUGUGGAAAGAAAGGGAAAAAAAGAGAGAGAGAUUAGGGGUUUGCAUACUUAAUUAACUGCUCGCAUUUGGCUUUUGCCCUGUCCUUUUCCUUUUCAGAUUGGAGUGGGGUGGAGGCAUAUGAUAUGAGCAUGGCAGGAUCUUCACUGUACUUUGCAUAUCUUGUAUAUCUAUCUAUAUAUGUAUUUGAUGCAUCUCAGGCAUGGACCACAUGAGUUAGGCGUGCAUCUGUAUGAUUUUGUUCUUCUCCCCAAAUCAACUGUUGCUUGGACAUGCUACGCUGUGUAAUUAAUCAAAUGUGAUUUCAGUGGAAUAGCGAUGUUAUUGUCAAUUUCUGCAACAAUUAUAUCUAUCUAUUGAAUAAGUUUUUUUGCAUGGUAAUACGUGUCUCAUUUAUAUAGAAUAAAGAUCAAGUUACAAGGCACGUAAGCACCGACGAUACUAGAUUGAAACGAUAGGAAAAUCCUAUGCAAAAUUCCAACGUCUGUCCCUCACCUUCGACACCACCGAAGCGGACACCAAAGGGUAAAAAGACAGAUCACCUCUUCACCCAAGCUCGACGCGGCUCCAUCGCUGAUCAGCAACUUUGCGGACCUCCAAAGUGGUUUUCCAGAAGCAAAACCAUAGCCGUUGAAAGAAUCAGACCGGGGCAACAUAUACCCGGACAUGCCAUCAAACUUCAGAACUGACACCCCCGCAUGACGACGACGUCGGAGGAGGAAAGCAGAACUGUCAGCCUUCAACCACAGACCCAACACAAGAUUCUCCAUCUUCCAGCUGUCACUUGCGUAGACAACCGCCUGCGCGUACUCCUGAACGACAAAACCUCCCUGCUCCACCAUGACGUCGGAGACAACGCCAUAGCAACGGGGACAGAGCAGAAGGAGAGACACACCUGAUGGAGUCGUCGCCGCCGCCUCGCCAACACCAUCCAUGAACCCUAACGCUGCCGAUCUGAAGGAUCGGCAGAGACACGAUGCCAUCAACUCCGAGACGCCGCCGUGAAGGGCACCGCCGGUAUGGGAGUGAAGCUGAGGCAGAUUUAUUCGUCUGUGCGUCGCUCCCACCACCCCAACGACGCACCACGACCUACAAAUCCAAAACCUAACUACAGAGCGGAGGAACGGGGUCCCCCCUCCCUCCUGCCACCGGAGCAGCGGCUGGAGGGAGAGGGGGCCAACGCACCGGCCGGUGGAGAUCGGUGGAAGGAGAUCGCCUCCCUAGUCGCCUGGCUGUUGGCGGCGGCUAGGGUAGGGAAAGCGCUGUACGUAUUUGUUCGUGCAUCUAUUGAAUAAGUUUCCUACUCCCUCCGUUCCAAAUUACUUGUCUUAGAUCUGUCUAGAUACCGUAUCUAGACAGAUCUAAGACAAGUAAUUUGGAACGGAUGUAAAUUUUUAUUUAUUUAGAUGAAACAAGAAGAUUUGAUUAUGUUGUGAAAGUAUUUUGCUGGAAUGACUUGGGCUUACACUGAGAAUUUCUAGAGCAUGUUGUUUACACCGGGUACAUCUUAUCCAACCAAGAUCACAAUGAUUAAUUUCAUGAAAUAUGUUAUGAUUAACGGGAAUCUUAUGUCAUGAAGUUCGCCGAUUUGUUAAAGCACGUAUAUAUUUCAGCAUCACCGAACAUCAUCAUCUGUUUGUUGGCAUACAGAGAGAUCUAACAUAAAAAGCAUACAUGAUUUUUUAUACGCUGCCAUGAUUAGUUAAAGCAUGCCUACCUGCAGGUAGCUUCAAAAAUCUCAUUACUCUGCCAGCCUGAAGUACCCUUUGUAUAUCUUGCCUACCUGAGUACUGAAACGUUGAAUAGGCGCUUAAUUAUCUCUAGGCCUCAACAACAUAUUUGGCAAUAAAUUCCAUGACAUUAUAUAUAUAGAUGUACUAAUAUAAACUCAUGUUGGAAUAAGUGACCAGUAGUUGAAGUCCUUGACUGCUCUAUGCAUAUAUGUAGGACAUGUUUAAUUAAGAGUUCCAAGUACUGGUUGAAGAUGUUCUUCAUGAACAUGUCAUCUGAUUGAUUGAUUACUUUGUCUCCAACUAACGGGAAACAUCAAACGGAAUAAAACUUGUGCGCAUUAUUGUAGAAUGCAUAAUGAUAUUCUUGUCAUUAGUUGACAACGACAAUAAAGGGUAUCAACAAUUGCAACUAAUCUACUUUGUGAAGCUUCUCUUAACAAAAUGAGAAGUCAUAACUGACGCCUAAAUAAAUAUGUGUACCAUUGGCAAAGUGCACACAGAUAUCCCGCAAUAAUUUCUAUACUCAGAACCUAAGACUUGUACCUAGUUAAUUAACAGGUCAGAAGCAUGUAAGGGUAUAAUCAUUGCAUCAGAACAAAUUCAUGGGAACAAACUCCCGAGGUCAAAUUUAUUUAUUUUCUUCGGAAACAAAUUUUAGGUUGAAGAUUAUACGAUUUCAUCUUGACACUGCAAACGGCAAUUGUCAGUUAAUUAAUUCAUGUGAAGAAAUAUAUCACUUAAUAUGGACCCAGGGAAGAAAUAUGUUAAUUAAAUCAGUUUGGCUGCAAGCGAGGCUGGUUUUGUUUAGUUGGGAUGUCGGGAGCUUUGUGAAAAGGACAUGCACCGUACAUGCACCCCACCAGCCACCCCCACGCACACAAAAACCCUAAUACCCAACUAGACACAUAUUUCCAUCUAGCACAAUCCUAAUUACCAUCCACAAUACAAAAGAAAAACACUAUGCCCACCCCACCCUUAUCAUGUACCAUCCCAUUUCAGGACAAACCAAACCUACAAGCUAAAGUAGUAUGGUGGUAGGAAGCCGAAAAUGUGACGAUGGGUAAAUUGAUCAUUUCACAUGAGAGCGCUAGCUACUGUGGAUCGACCUAUUAGAUUCUUACUCGUCACAACUUACACAUAUUAACAAUCAGCGGACAUGCCCAGUUCUCUCAGCCACGAAUAAAGGGGAGAGAAACUUUAGGGAUUAUUUUGCACGCCUACCGAACGGCGCACCGCCACCUCAGUAGGGGACCAGUCCAAGUGUGCGAUAUAGAAGAGUUUAUGUGGAGUAAAGAAACGAAUAGGGACCGGUUCGCUUACACGAAUAAAAAAAGCCCUACUCCAGAGUGAAAUUUUAACGUGUACCGGGGGAUUUGAAUAUAGCCCGCGAUUUGAAUUCACAUGGGCAAUAGGGGACCAAUGGCCAGCCAGAUCAAAGCGAAAUCCGAAAAACCCCUUAGUAGGAGCAUGCUUGGGGGGUGGUGGGGGUGAGCUUAGAAGGGUGCACCUUGGAUAAAAGGCUCCCUGCUUAAUUAAUUAUUGUUGAUUAGUUUAUAGUGGCACCCAAAGUCUCUCCCCAGCCUCCAUCAACCCUCUUUAUCCUCCUCCUCCUUUCUUAUACCCACUUGCAUGCCUCCUCCUCCCUCUACACACUUCAGAGAAAGCCACAGCUCCCCAAUGCUCCUCUAGCUACCUCAUUAUCUCUCUCUCUCUCUAGCUAGCUAGCUAGACUAGAUCACAGGUGCAACUUGGUCUCCUAGAUUCAUCUUCAAGGUAUGCAAAUUGAAUAUGUGCUUGUGUUUGUGCAUUAGAUCUCCCCAAAUAUUUGUAUCCUUACAAAAAUCUCUUCCUCCUUUCUGCCCUUUUCUUAUUGUGAGAGGAGAGGGUAGAUAAAUUCAUUCAUCUUGCUGUUUUUCUUGUGUGUUCUGCUUGUGUGGAUAUGGUGGAAGGAAGCUUACAUGAUCUGUGUGUGUUUGUGUUGUGCUUGCAUGUGGUGACCGAAGACUUCAUGGCGAACCGGUGGUGGGACGGCCAUUUGGGGCUGCCGGGCGUCGCGCCGGAGCAGCCGUCCGGCUCGUCGGGCCCCAAGGUCGAGUCGCUCGCGCUCGUUGUCAAAGAUUCUGAGACCAGCCCGACGUCCGGUGGCGGCGAGCACGCGGACGAGAACAAGGACGCUGUCGGUGGCGGCGAGCCGCGCGAUCUGGGCGCGGUGGUGCCCGCCCCGAACCGGCGGCCCCGGGGCCGGCCGCCGGGGUCCAAGAACAAGCCGAAGCCGCCCAUCUUCGUGACGCGCGACAGCCCCAACGCGCUGCGCAGCCACGUGAUGGAGGUGGCCGGCGGCGCCGACGUGUGCGACGCCAUCGCGCAGUUCUCGCGCCGCCGGCAGCGGGGCGUGUGCGUGCUCAGCGGCGCCGGGACCGUGGCCAACGUGGCGCUGCGCCAGCCGUCGGCCCCCGGCGGCGCCGUGGUGGCCCUCCACGGCCGCUUCGAGAUCCUCUCGCUCACGGGGACCUUCCUCCCGGGGCCCGCGCCGCCGGGGUCCACGGGGCUCACCGUGUACCUGGCCGGCGGGCAGGGGCAGGUGGUCGGCGGCAGCGUGGUGGGCUCGCUCGUCGCCGCGGGCCCCGUCAUGGUGAUCGCGUCCACGUUCGCCAACGCCACCUACGAGCGCCUGCCGCUGGAGGACGAGGACGAGGGCUCGGGCCCGCCGAUGGCGCACGACCCGCUCAUGGCCGGCGGCGUCCACGUCCACGGGCACGGGCACGGGAUGCCCGACCCGUCGGCGGCGAUGCCGAUGUUCAACAUGCCACCGAACAACGGGCAUCUCGGCGGCGGCGGCGGCGGCGGCGACGGGUUCCCAUGGGCGCCGCACUCCCGCGCUCCCUACUGAUGGCGCGCACGGCAAUGGCGAAAUGGCGUGGUGCACUGCAUGCUGCAUGGUUACUGUUCCAUUGGAGUCACUUGGCGCCAUUAGCUAGGUUAGUACAUAUGACGAUCCAAGCUAUCUAGUGGUGAUUAAUUAGAGCGAAUUCGUACUGCUACUUAGUUUCUUAUAUGUUGUUAUGGUCAAAUAAUUUUCUAAUUUGCUGGUGUGUUUAUUGUUGUCUACUACUGAAUUAUCAACUGAGCUAGAGAUAUAGCUAGCUCUGGUCAAUUCAUGCAAUGUUUGGUUAAUUCAUCAUGGAAUUAAUGUUCAGUUCCUCAUCCAUCCGUGAUCCGUCGAUCGAUAUAUAUAUAUAUAUAUGCUUAAUUUCUCUAAAUGGUUAGGGGUGAUGAACUUCAAAAUUCAGAGCAAACUUUUGUUUGUUCUCUUGUUUGGAUUUGUUUACUGCCACUUGUUCUUCUAGUCCCUACUCCCUAGCAUGUGAUUGUUGCUAAGUUAUUCCCAAGGAACACACGCAUUCAUACAUGCAUGAUAGUAAGUUAGUAACCAGUAUAUAGCACAACACUUUUAGUACUGUGGCUAGUUUGUUGAUCAAGUAUAGUUAGUAAGUAGCUUGGUGUCAGUUGGUCCCAGAUCUCUCAUGCUGUUUCGAUCCAGUGCAAGCUCUUUACAAUGGUCCCCCAUAUUUUUUUAGUUUGAACUUAAUUUGAUUGGGUACCGCGACGAAUGCGAAGGUGCAUCUGUAGCUCGUCCGCGACGGCAAUGGAGAUCUAUAGCACAAGUGGCAAUGUCAUGUGCAUGCAUCGUUACUGUUCCAUUGGAUCAGAGAAGCAGAUAGCUCGAUGUGCGGAUUUUCACACGCAAUUAGCUAGGUUGGCGCCUAUGGUUGAUGAUCAGAUGAUGAUUAAUUAGGCUCAUGCGUAGUCGUGCCCCGUUGUUAUGGUGAAACAGAAAAUUAGUGGAAUGUUUGUGUGUUCGUUAAUCGUCUACUUAGUUAGCUGAGCUAGCCAACUAUAGAUCGAUCAUAUUGGAUAAUAACUGGAGAUAUAACUAUCUCAGUUGGAUCAAUUUCAUGCACUUUAUGUUUGGUUCCUCGUUUGUCGAUCCACAUAUAUGCUUAAUUUCUCUAAAUGGUUAGGGGUGAUGAACUGCAAAAUUCAGAGCAAACUUUUGUUUGUUCUCUUAUUUGGAUGUGUUUCUCGUUACUUGUGCUGUUCUCUAGCAUAUGGUUGUUGCUGAAUUAUCCAAAACACCAUCAUUUAUACGUGCAUGAUGUUACUACAUAACACAACACUUUUAGUGCAGUGAGUUUGUUGAUAAGUCUAGUUAGUAAGUAGCUUGGUGUCAAUUGGUCCCAGAUCUCCCACACUAUCAUCUCUGAAUGCUAGCUCUUUUUAUUGGUCCCCCAUGUUUCCGAAUUUGAACUUAAUUUUCUUGGAUACCGCAAUGAAGGUCAAGGUCAACUAGCCAAGAAAAUCUCUAGCAGCUGUGCAUCUCCGCGAUGUGGCUAUGGCAUGUGUGUGCGUGGUUACUUUUCCCUUGCAUUGGAGGAGAUAACCUGAUCGCGCCAUAUGCUAGGUUAGUACAUAUAUAUGAUCCAUGAUCAAGUGUGAAUUAAGUAGCGCUCUUGUGUACUCGCGCUACUUUGUUAUGGUGAAAUGAUAAGUGAAAAUGUUUGUGUGUUAGUAAUUGUAUGCUUAAUUGAUUUAGCUGGCUAGAUAGAGAUCGGUCAUAUUGCUAGGUCAGAUCAGUUCAUGCGUGCAAUGUUUGGUUCGUGAACUACCAUGAUUCAUGUUGAGCUGAUUUCUAGGUGGUCAAUUUUUUUUCUCUACCAUGGGGCAAGUGCGGUUCAGACUUAACUGUGUUAAGUCUCUUAACUGUGUUAAGUCCCUCCUCCCUCGUCCCUUUCUUUGAAUCUACUCCAUCCGUUCCUAAAUAUAAGUCUUUUCAGAGAUUUGAAUAUGGACUACAUACAGAUGAAUAUAGACAUACCCGUUUUGCUCCGUAUGUAGUCCAUAUUAGAAUAUCUAGAAAGACUUAUAUUUAGGAACUGAUGGAGUAUUUCCUACAAACAUGUGUUUGUGAUUAUAUAUAACUAAGUUAUUGCUUGGGACUCGUGUCCAUACAUGCAUGCUAAUUAACAAAACAGAUGAUUUUAGUGAAGAACACUUCUCUGACCCUUCGAUAGUAAAGAUUAAGUAGCUUGGCUCCGUUGGCCCCAGAUCUGAGACUGUCUCGAGUGAUCUGAUUAUUGGUCCCCCAUUUUCUCCAAACUUGAACUUUGUUAAUUUGGAUGUCGCAGAUCAAGAGGCGAAUUAAGAAAAUCCCCACCACAGGUGCAUCUACGCAAUAUUUUAGAUCUAAUAGUGUAAAUUAAGUUAGGAGAGCACUAAGUAUUAUCAGUAAACUGAAUUAUAUGUGCCCUCUAGCAAAGCAACCAUUAGUUCUUAAUAUCACUGCUGAACUUGCAUGCAAUAUGCAUGCCCAGUUAGCUCUACACAGUCCUGGACUAGUUGGCUUAUAUGCUUUUAUUGUAGUAAUAGCUUGUGUCAUUCCAAUGAAUUUGAUAGCUAAACCUUUUGGCGUUUUUUCUUGUAGAUACCAUUUGCUUAUUUUGUGUUAAUUGAAUCAAUUUUAAUUUGUCCAUCUUUGCAAGAUCUAGCUACCAAUUUAGCGAUGUUAUUACCAUGAUGUUUAUCAUCACGUUGGACUAGGUUAGUCUUCAAACAAAAUAUGCUCAACACUAAUGUGAGAGAUUUCAUGUUUUUCAAACAAGAUCUUUCGGAUCCCAUACUAUAAGGACCGACUAAUUACGAAGCUAUCAUAUACCAAAUACAUUGCAAUAUUAAUUGGGGAGGGUAGAUUAGUGUUUUGAACAUAGUUGAUGCAUGUAUGGAUCAAAUAAAACACGAUUAACCAACUAAGCUAAAUUACAGUAACAAUUGGUGUGUUGUGGUUAUUAUGCAUGGUGAUAUGAAAGAUGUCUAAUAUGGAUUUUUUAUAUAUGAGAGUACACUACUGGGGAAACCAUAGUAGCAAUGCAGGGUAAUGGCCUACCAGUAGCGCGAGGACCCGCGCUCCUGCUAGCGCGCUACGGCUAACUUUUAGCAGUAGCGAGGGGUUGAACCCUGCGUUGCUGCUACUUCUGGUAGCAGUAGCGUGGGGUAGGACCCACGCUACUGCUAGUUACCUGUAGUGCGGGCCAGGACCCAGUGAUGGUACUAAUUUUAUGUAGCAGCAGCGCGGGCCCCACGUUGUUGCUACGUUCUUACCCCGCGCUACUACUAGUUUUUCUCUAAAAAAAAUUCUUCUGGCUACACAUACAUGGUAUUUGGAGCACGGGUGCAUUGGAGUACCUUAUUUUAAAUAGUUUAAAAAUAAUAUUUAAAUUUUCAAAGAAUUCUGAAAAGAAUUCUACAUGAUCAUAUGCAUGUAUAUUACACACAUGUAAAGUUUGAUGAUGGAAUAAGUAAACAUGUGAGAUAUACUAAAAUGACAAAGUGUGAUAUCUAAGUAGUGAAUAAUACAUGCACUGUUCAUCUUUCCAAAAUCAUGAUUUUUAUCAUUUUUGUGCAACUCACAUGGUUACUUAUUUCAUCAUCAGAAUUUGCACAUGUGUAAUAUAUGUUCAUAUGAGCAUGUUACAUUUUUUUCAGAAUUUUUGAAAACUUCAAAAUACAGGUCCGACACUAUUUAAAUAUAGGGCUCACUGGAGCUCAUGCACCAAAAUGACUUUAUGUUUAUUUACUAGCAUGCAUGGCUCUUUCUUGCCAAGGUGCAACGGUGCAAAGCUAGUAUCUUUUGACAAUGAAACAAGAAUAUUAAAAAUAUAUGUUUCAGCAAUAAUUUAAGAACCUAAUUAUUUUUUAUAAAACCAUAUAUCUAAUGGUCUAACUAACUCAAGAAGCUAAAUCUACAUACAAUGGAAUCAUCAUGUUCGUCCAUACAAGACCACUGGCUGCGGAUAUUCUUCAAACUUGAUUUUUUUUCAUGUUUAUCAUGUAGGAGUUAUCAUAUUAUCCAACCGGCGAGAUGUUUUGCUCAACAGUUUAUAUUUUAUGCAUAUAUUUAUCUCUAAAAUGAUAGUAUUUAUUCAAUAAUUAACAGAGCGCUUAAAUGUGCGGUUAUUUUUCAUUUGCCUUACAAAUAACAAAAUCAUUGAUAUAAGUUGCAUGUUUUCAAGUGUUGAUCCUUUUUUUAAACUCUGAGAUUCAGCUGAUUUGUUGAGUGUAUCCUAUUUGUACUUGCCUAUGGAAAACAUGUAUUUUUUUCUUCUGCUAGAAAAAUGAACAAUGCUCCUAUAGACUAUAGUGCAUUUGAAAUACUGUGCUUGCCUUCGUCCAAAAACCUCUCGGUGAAGAUUGGUUGUGAUAUAUAGAAUGUGAUCGGGAAGGAUGAUGGUGGAGUACAAAUUGCAUGAUUUUCACCAGACAUGGAGUUUUAAACUCGAGCUCACAUGAGCUCGAUUGAACGGUAAAUCCAAAAAAAACUAUUUUUUAAACUGAUUUUUUUAGAGAAACAGCUCGAGCUCACAAUUGCACUUUCGGGCUUUCACCUUGAUACUAAUAGUCUAGUUGUUGGAGUAACUAUAUAAGACUAUGGCCAGUUAUAAUCUUAGCACACAUGCAUGGAUCGAUAGAUGUAGUCGACUGAUUGGACAUGGUAACUUAAGAAAACCAAAACAAACUACGCGGAUAGGUUAUCGAAAAACCGCCACCUUUAUUUUCUACACAUAACCACCACUAUCAGUAUCAAGGUGACCUAGAGGGCAAGGUCAUGACAUAAAGCACUGAUCCAUGGCUAAGUAUGUUUUGAUAGCGACUAUGACUUAUGGGUAUCGGGGCACACGGUGGCUACUAUAGUGCAUAACAAAAAAUUCGACCACGCAACCAAGAACAUACUGUUGGGUGUAGAUCACGGGAUCAUAUUUUACCACUGGAUACACAAUCAAGGCACCGGAAGGAAAGUAGCGAUGUGCGUCCCUAUCUCCUGCUUGUGGAUCCCUCGUACAGUUCUUCAUGGUUCCUCAAAUGGUUCGUCAGAGUGUCGUAGGUGCAACGUCUCCAAGGUAUCCGCAUGUGCAGGGAGGAACGUUGGACGUCAUACUGCUAGAUCCGAUCACAUGAUGUGAGAGCAUGGAAGUGGUGGCGGCUAGGUCAUGAGAGUGGUCAAGCCCUUUCGAGGAUAUCACCCCUCCACCGGGCCAGCACUUGUGGCCCAUUAGGAUUCCACACCCAAUUUUGAAUCAGAUCAAAACUGAAUGGUCUCCCGUUGCUUAAGCGCACGACCCCAUAGGUUCACAUACAAAUGGAGAUGACCCGAGUCGAUAGCUGGUGAUGGCUCCUGGGAGAACAUGCCAACUCUCAUGUGUGCGCAAAGUCAUAUUGAUGAACCUUGAUAAUGUGUCAUAUGCAACAUUUCUUUUGCCUCACGAUAUAUGUUGUCAAACUCAAGGCGAGUACUUGUCACCUUUGUAGGUAGAUCGACCUCUCUUCUCGUCAAAAUCGUGAUACAGAUUCCUGAACCAGGUUAACACUUAACCCAAGUCGCAUGGUUAUGCUUUUCUGAAUCUGAUCACUCGAGAGGGCUGAGUGAAUAUAUCUCCUAAUUGAAGGGGCAAAUCUCAUCUUGGUCAACCAUGCUUUGAUGCAUGUCUCACAACUCACCCAAAAGCUAUCUUUAAACUACUCAAUUAUGGAGUAGCGUUUAACAGACCCUAAGUGACUCGGUCCUCAUCCCGCGAACAUGCGAGUACCUCAAGUCCAGGACAUGGCUAUACAUUCUACAUGAAAAUAACAUAUGAUAGUAUCUCACUGUGUCAUGGGCUAUCCGACUUGAUUAUCCCUAUCCCCGAGUCCAUACUAUCGGGUUAACAUAUCUAUGCCCAUGACUUGUAAAGCAUAGUCAUCAUCUGAAUAGUCAAAAGGCAUGUGUUUGUAUAACCUUAUCAACUAGGAACCGUUCUAAGAAUCAUCAUACAACAUAUAGUUUCACAAAUAGGUCACAUACUUAUUGAUACAUAUCAGUGAUGAUGUUCAAAGACAAUACAAAUAACUCGUGAAUACAUAAGAAAAUAAUAUCGUCACAUGAUUGGCUCUAGGGCAUAAUUUUCAAUAGUGGAACCCGACUGUCAGGGCUGAGUUGAGAACUUAUGUGUACAAUAUAUAAGCCGAGGUGGACAUAGGGCCUAAUUGUCCGCUUUGCCUUCGUCUCAUAUCUCUUAUGUUUCUCCCUCCUUGUCAGAUAUCUUCCGCCGAUGUUGUGCCAUACCGAGUCCAGACCAGUGAGCCUGUUUGUAUCCCUUGGAAAAUGCGACGUAAAUAAAAGCAAGCUAGCUCCUUUUUCUAUUUCCUUGUAUUACUCCCUCAGUAAAGAAAUAUAAGAGCGUUUAGAUUGGCUAUAUGCUGGUUAUUGCGACCAAUAACCGGUAGCCCGCGUGCCUGCAAGGGCAACUCGGUGUGGUCCCCUCACUUCUUUCUCUUUUUGUUCUUCCCUUUUUAUUUUUCCUAUUCAUUUUUGGAGGUUUAUUUUCUUUUCUUCCCUUUUUUGAUUUACAUUUUUUAAAAUAUGAUAUUUUGGCCAAGACACGUGAACAUUUAAGAAAAAUAUCUGAACAUUUUAACAUAGGUGAACUCCUUUUAAAAUUACAUAAACAUUCUUUAAAAAAAUCCAUGAACACUUUCUAAAAUUACAUGAACAUUUUCUAAAGUAUAAACAAUUUUUUUAGUGAUAAACAUUUAGUAACAUGCAUAUGUUUUCAAAAAUAAAAAAGCAAUACAUGUUUUUUAGUUACAUAAUAUUUUUAUAUGCAUGGAUAUUUCUACAACACACAAACAUUCUAAUUUUUUUAUUUGUUUGAUUCUAAUUUGUAAUUUAUUAAAAUUUUCCAUUAAAAAUGAGCCUGGCUAUCAGUGUGAAAUGGGUCACAUUGAUUCCGACCAUUUUUAAGGUCGUGUGUGAUCAUGUGAAAAUGCGGUCAGGCUUUUGCUGGGCCGUCACAUCUUUUAAAAACCACGAACACUUUCUAAAAUUUGAUAACAUGAGUUAGUUAUAAGCAGUGCAUAGUGUUGGAAAAUAUUAGCACUUUUCUGAUUAGACUAAUCCACGAGUAAACAGUAAGCAUGGCAAAUACAGUAUGCAUCUCAUACCGAUUCCUAGGCAUACUAGUACGUAUAGAACAUAGAAGCAAACCAUCUAUGAGCAGCACAUACACUAGUAGAAAAAGGGUCAAACGUGAAGCACAUUAGUGCCGGUUUGUAUUAGAGACGGCACAAAUGUAUACAUUAGUGCCGGUUCCAACGGCUAGCCGGGCCGCUCUCAUUAGUACCGGUUCGUGGCUAACCUUUAGCACCGGUUCGUGCCACGAACCGGUACUAAUGAGGGUGGUGGCAGGAUGUUGUCAGUCUGGGCUCCCUCCAGCACCUUUAGUACCGGUUCGUGCCACGAACCGGUACUAUAGGUCCUCCUGCAUAUAAACCCUUCGUCCAGCUCGCUUUGUUCUUCCCCCUUUCCCCUCUCCUCUCCUCUCUAUUCUUCCUCUUCUCCCCUCGAGCUCAUCACACAUUUUGCCCAAAAUUUGUCAAGAUUUGAAGGCCCCCAUCCAUUCAAGUGAUCACAAAGGUUAGCAACUUUGUCCUUUCAUCUCUCAUUGCUAGAUUAGCUCUUGCAAUGCUUUAUAUAGUUAUUAAUUUGUGAGUUUAGUAAUUUGGGAGGAAAUAUAUAUAUGUGCUAGUAUUUGAUUUAUAUGCAAUUUGAGGUCAAAAUAACACUUAGUUUGCAUAUGUAGGUGUGGUUUACUUAGUGCCUUCUAAAUCUCCGUCGUAACCACCGUCGAUCGCCCGCACCGUCCCGUCGCCGGCACCACCUUGUGGUGAGCCUCUUGUUCAUGAAAUUUUAUAUAAAAAAAUUGAUGUUUGUGUGAUUUGGAUAUAUAGUUACUCGUAUAAUAAUUAUCUUACCCGUACGUUGUUUGUUAUACAUAGUGCCAUGGUUUUGAUAUCCAUCCCCGUCGGCUCUCGUCCUUGUUAUGAUUCGGAUGUGGUAUAUUCUCUUUUAGAACUAUUUGUUGCAUUUCGUGUUUAUGACAAAUUAUGCCCAUCAAGUUGACAUAGAUAUUUUUAUCUAGGAGGUAUGUGAACCGAAAAUUCCAACCGACCCUAUUGUCGAGAGGUUAAAUUUAGUUGAAAGAGAAAACGAGUACUUGAAAGAAAAAUUGAAAAGAAUUGAGGGGGAGAAGAUGGAAUUGGAGUUGCAUGUUGCCGAUGUCGUCGAUGAUCACAAGAUCAAGAUGGAGAAAAUGCGCUUGAAGAUUAGAAAGAUUAGAAAAUAUGCCAUCGAUAGUGAGGCUUGGUAUCAUUAUGCUGUUGGAUCAAUUGUUACCUUAGUUGCGAUCUUGAUCGCAUUUGUUGUUGCAUUUAAAUGCUUUAGCUAGAGAGUUAUUUGUUUGUUGCAUUUAAGUGUUGUAUGGACUUUAUGUAUGAACUUGUAUUAAUUUGGUCUAUUCGGUGUUGUGUAAUGAAGAUGAGCCGGCAAUGGAUGUACGAUGAUCGAUGCUCUCCCCAGUUCGUUGAGGGUGUGCAUACUUUUCUGCUUGCGGCUGAGGCAAACAAGCGGGCGGAUGGUUUUAUGCCUUGUCCAUGUGCUGGCUGUAAGAAUGGUCGCAAUUACUCUACGUCAAGAACCAUUCACGUCCACCUGUUUGAGUCCGGUUUCAUGCCCCACUAUAAUGUUUGGACCAAUCACGGAGAAAGAGGGGUUAUGAUGGAAGACAAUGAAGAAGAAGAGGACGACGACAGCUAUCCUGGCCAUGGGUUCCCUGAAUACGAUGAUACAACAAUGGGGAAAGAAGUUGAGCCGGUAAUGCGGGAAGAAUCUGAAGAAGAGGCAUCAGAUGAGCCCGUUGAUGAUCUAGGUCGGGCCAUUGCCGAUGCAAAGAGAAACUGCGCAAGUGAUUUGGAGAAGAAGAAGUUGCAGCGCAUGUUAGAGGAUCACAAAAAAUUGUUGUACCCGAAUUGCGUAGGUGACAAGAAAAGAAAAGAAAAGAAAAGAAAAACUAUAGCUGAAAAAAAAACUAUAUAAAAAAACUACUCAAAAAUAAAUAGAAGAAAAUAAAUAUAGCAGAAAAGAAAAAACUACUCAGAAAUAAAUAGAAGAAAAAAUAAAGCAGAAAAGAAAAAAAUUAUAUUUGCUAUUUUUCAAUCGUUUACAAAAUGACCGUGAAAUUUAAAAUCACUACAAAAUGAACUCUGAAAAUGUUGAAUUUUGGCAAACUAGAUGAAAAACUACUCACAAAUAAAUAGAAGAAAAUAAAUAUAACAGAAAAGAAAAAACUAUACAAAAAACUACGCAAAAAUAAAUAGAAGAAAAUAAAGCAGAAAAGAAAAAAACUAUAAAAAAAAUUGGGGCGCUGCCCUGUGGGCCUGAUAGGCCACAGGUGUGUAAUUACAGGCCUUAAAGGCCCAGCAGACUCACAGGGCAGCGCACAGAGUUUAGGCCCACCAGCCUGCUAUAUAGAGGAGUUCGAAGUGGUAGUCGGGGCUGGGUUUAUAAACCAGUGCGGCUGCCCUUCGCCCGGCGAGGUGGGACUAAACUUUGGGGUGGCAGCGCGUGGCCUUUAGUACCGGGUCGUGGAACAAACCGGCACUAAAGGGGGGGCCUUUAGUAUCGGUUUGUGCCACCACCCGGUACUAAAGGGGGUCGCCUCCCGCUGCUUGGCCUGGCCAAAACAGGCCUUUAGUACCGAUUGGUGGCUCCAACCGGUACUAAAGGGGGGUCUAUAUAUACAACACGUCCGAAAAUUUCGUUUUCCCUCUCUGUUUGUUCCUCUGUUUCCGUCUCCGUCGCCGUCGCCGCCGCCCUCGAUCGUCUCCGUCGCCGCCCCCGUCCCCGUCGCCGCCCCCGUCCCCGUCGCCGCCCCCAUCCCUGUCGCCGCCGUCGUCUCCGUCGCCGCCCCGGGCCCGCCCCCGUCCCCGUCGCCGCCCUCGUCUCCGUCGCCGCCCCCGUCCCCGCCGUCGCCGUUGUCGCCGUCGCCUUGAUGAUGGUAGGCGAUUCAGCAUCAAGCUGGAUGAGACUUUCAAAUUCGAUACAGUAAGUCAUAAAGACAAGUCUGUUUUCGUAAUUAAGCAUGACUUAUAUAUGCUUCAUUUGCCUGACUUAUAAUUUUUAAUUUUCACUAUUCUACUAGCGCAUCCCCUGCCAUGCAAGAAUUUUUGUCUUGGAUAAGAUAGGUUUCAAAGAUAUGGAAACUAUGGAGGUAAAGAGAGCUUACCUGAAAACUGAGCAUGAUGGUUAUACUUUCAACGUCAAAGUAUACAAUGCACACACGUACACCUAUUUUGAAUGCAAAACUUAGCAAGCACUAUGCAAGACUUAUGCAUUUGAGCCUGGUAUGGUUAUCACCUUUGAUAUUCGUCCGAAAGAUGAUAUUGAAGGUAAUAGAGACAUAUGGGUCGAUGUGCAGACGCCUCCAGUUCUACCAUUAUGUGAGUUCUUCUCAAAUAUAUUUUUGUCUUUGAUAUUGCUUAUUUCAAAAAUAACUGACAACUAAUUUCUAUUGACAGCUUAUCUCCAUUCAACCAAACAUGUCCGGCGCUUGGUAGACAGGACCUUCUACUAUCCCGGAGUUGAACUAAACUGCGAGGAGAUAAGUCAUUAUAUUUCAUGGCUUGAGGAUCUUCAUACUGUCAAGACAAAAAAAAUUCCUGCACUUAGAAAUGUUAGUACUCAAAAUGUGCGACCAAUAGUGAUGGUAUUGAACUACGGUCACAUCUAUUUAGGAAUGAUGGUAAGAUAUUUACUAUUUGUCCUUAGUGCAUAUUUUGCAUACAUAUUUUUUUUGCUAAACUUUCAUUGCUAAGUAUAUUAAUUAAGUACUAUACGAUGUCCUUCAACAGGGACUCCCGAUGACAGUUAUGUCUCAGGGGAUCGAGACUAAAGGUCAGAUGUCAAUUGUCAGUUUACGGCCAAGAUAUCCUGCAUUGCACAUGAAUGCAUUCAGGAUUUCUAGAAGCGAUGAAUGCUUAAUAGUGAAAGAUUGGAGGAAAAUUGUUAAUGAUCGCAGAGAAGUACUAGGGGGCAGCAAUGAGAAGCGCAGCCCACGAUUAGGAGACAGGUUCAUCGGCAUGCUCCAGUAUGAUCAAUCAGGAGAGCUAUACAUGUUCUAUGCUAUUUUACCAGAGAGAGAGUAGCUAGCAGGAGUGAUUUAACUAGUUCUUCAUGCUGCUCUUAAUUAGUACUUGUCCUUUUAUAUCCGUGUUCUUCGUUCUGAACUUAAGUGAUUUGCUUUUGUGGUGUUAUAUAUGAACGCUUAUAAUAUCAUGACAAUCAUGUUGAACUCGAUGAUUGGUUCUACUAGAAAUUCUAUUUAUAUAUAUAUAUAUAUAUAUGCAUAAUGUUUACAAUGUGUAGUAUCGUAAAAUACCAGCAAACGAAAAAGAAUUAAAAUGGAAACACAAAAUUAAAUGAAAAAGAAAUCAUAAAACUAAAAAACCCAAACCUUAUAGUACCGGUUGGUCUUACCAACCGGUACUAAAGGGCUCCAGGCCCCCGGAGCUGGCUUGUGCCACGUGGUUGCCCUUUAGCACCAGUUCGUGCUGAACCAGUACUAAAGGGGGGGGGCUUUAGUGACCACACUUUAGUGCCGGUUAUGGAACCGGCACUAAAGGGCCUUACGAACCGGUGCUAUUGCCCGGUUCUGCACUAGUGAUAUAUGGCUAGCACAAGCACGAGUAAAUGAGGGAUGAACAGAUCAUACCCUCCGGUGGCCAGGCCAACGCGGCGGCGGCGGCAACAGCCUCGGCUUUGUUCGUGGCCUUCUUCUUGGUGGCGGCAUCAUCGGACAUGGUGUUGAUGUAGGGGAAGUAGUGGAAGCAGAGGCGGACGGAGCUGGGGACAGAUCGGGAGCAGUUGCAUCGAGACGCUCCCCAAAAACCUUAUUGCCGAUCUCCCGGGCAGGAUCUCGAACGACAGGGUUCCGGAGGCACCUGCUCUCCCGACCAACCUUGCACACGGUCGUCGGGAUGGGGUCGCCGGAGACAACACAGAGCAGGGAACAGUAGAUGACGUCUAGGUUACGCGAGAGGGAGUGAGUUAACCGAGUUAGGUCACUCCAGUGGCCAGAGCCUUCUUAUAUAGUCCGUCGUGGGCUUGGGCGGAGGCCCACGACCGAGACGACACACUCCCGGGAAGGGAACUUCAUCUUCAACCCUUACACAAAUGAAUUCGUCCUGGUGUAUCUCGAUGAUAUCUUGGUGUUCUCCAAGAAUAAGAAGGACCAUGCCAAACAUUUGAGGUUGGUGCUCGACAAGCUCAGAGAGUAUCAAUUCUAUGCGAAGUUUUCCAGAUGUGAGUUUUGGCUUGAUGAAGUUCUUUAUCUUGGCCACAUCAUCUCCGCCAAGGGCAUUGCUGUUAAUCCGGAGAAGGUUUCUGCAAUUGUGAACUGGGAACCUCCUCAGAAUGUCAAGAAGCUCCGCAGUUUCCUUGGACUUGCAAGCUAUUGCCGAAGAUUCGUUGAGAAUUUCUCUAAGAUUGCAAAGCCUCUUUCCAACCUCCUCCAAAAGCAUGUCAAGUAUGUCUGGACUCUCAAAGAGAAGCUAGUCUCAGCUCCUGUCUUGCCUCCUCCUGAUGAAUCCAAGCCAUUCAAAGUUUUCUGUGAUGCCUCUUUGCAAGGUCUCGGUGCCGUGUUAAUGCAAGAGAAGAAAGUUGUGGCCUAUACCUCUCGUCAGUUGAAGCCCAACGAAAGGAACUACCCCACUCAUGAUCUUGAGUUGGCGGCAGUUGUCCAUGCAUUGAUGACAUGGAGACAUCUCUUGUUGGGAAGGCAAGUGGACAUUUUCACCGAUCACAAGAGCCUCAAAUAUAUCUUCACUCAACCCAACCUCAACCUCAGGCAAACUCGUUGGGUCAAAAUGAUUCAAGAGUACAAUCCGAGUAUUGAAUAUACUCCAUGCAAGGCUAAUGUGAUUGCAGAUGCUUUGAGCAGGAAGGCCUAUUGCAACAGCUUAAUUAUCAAGCCAUUCCAUCCUGAUCUUUGUGAAGCUUUCCGCAAACUCAACCUCCAAGUUGUUCCUCAAGGUUUUCUUGCCAACCUUCAAGUCGCUCCUACCUUGGAAGAUCAAAUCCGUGAGGCACAACUCCUUGAUGCCAUGGUGAAGAAGGUGAAACACGGUAUUGCCAAGGGCUUAUCCAAAUACAAGUGCUAUCGCAUUGAUGACAAGGACACCUUAUUCUUCGAGGAUCGGUUAGUGGUUCCUAAAGGUGAUCUAAGGAAGGUCAUAAUGAACAAAGCGCACAACUCUCUCCUUUCCAUCCGUCCAGGCAGCUCGAAGAUGUAUCACGACCUUAAGCAAUCAUUCUGGUGGACACGUAUGAAGCGAGAGAUUGCUCAAUUCAUGAAUGAAUAUGAUAUCUGCUGAAGGGUCAAAGCUGAACAUCAAUGACCGGCUGGUCUCCUCCAACCUCUUGCUAUUCUAGAAUGGAAGUUUGAUCACAUUGAGAUGGACUUUGUCACUGGAUUCCCUAAGUCCAAGCGUGGGAAUGAUGCCAUCUUCAUUGUCAUCGACAAGCUUACAAAAGCGGCUCAUUUCCUUCCAAUCAAAGAAUUUAUCACGGAAGCUAAGUUGGCAGAGCUCUACACCUCCAGAAUUGUCUCCUUGCACGGUAUUCCGCAAUUGAUCUCUUUAGACCGCGAAAGCAUUUUCACUUCUAAGUUCUGGGACUCCUUCCAGAAGGCCAUGGGCACCAACAUUCGCUUCAGCACGACUUUCCAUCCUCAAACAAGUGGCCAAGUCGAGCGAGUCAAUCAAAUCCUCGAAGACGUGCUCAGAGCUUGCGUAAUCUCUUUCGGUAUGAAGUGGGAAGAUUGUCUUCCAUAUGCCGAGUUCUCCUACAACAACAGCUUCCAAGCAAGUUUGGGCGAGGUGCUACCUCUUGAGCACUGCGUUGGAUUUCCCCGAAGAGGAGAGGAUGAUGCAGUAAAGUAGCGUAAGUAUUUUCCUCAGUUUUUGAGAACCAAGGUAUCAAUCCAGUAGGAGACCACACACAAGUCCCUUGUACCUACACAAAACGAUAGCUACUCGCAACCAACGCGAUUAGGGGUUGUCAAUCCCUUCACGGUCACUUACGAGGGUGAGAUCUGAUAGAGAUGAUAAAUGAUAUUUUUGGUAUUUUUGAUAGAUAGAUGCAAAGUGAAAAGAAAAAGGCAAAGUAAAAACAAAGCAAGUAAAUAAAGCGAUAGAGAUUGAUAUGAUGAGAUAGACCCGGGGGCCAUAGGUUUAACUAGUGGCUUCUCUCAAGAGCAUAAAUAUUCUACGGUGGGUGAAUAAAUUACUGUUGAGCAAUUGACAUAAUUGAGCAUAGUUAUGAACAUAUCUAGGCAAUGAUCAUGUAUAUAGGCAUCACGUCCAAGACAAGUAGAUCGAAACGAUUCUGCAUCUACUACUAUUCUCCACUCAUCGACCGCUAUCCAGUAUGCAUCUAGAGUAUUAAGUUAAAAACAGAGUAACGCCUUAAGCAAGAUGACAUGAUGUAGAGGGAUAAAUUCAUGCAAUAUGAUAAAAAAACCAUCUUGUUAUCCUCGAUGGCAACAAUACAAUACAUGCCUUGCAACCCUUUCUGUCACUGGGUAAGGACACCGCAAGAUCGAACCCAAAGCUAAGCACUUCUCCCAUUGCAAGAACUACCAAUCUAGUUGGCCAAACCAAACGGAUAAUUCGAAGAGACUUGCAAAGAUAACUCAAUCAUACAUAAAAGAAUUCAGGGAAGAUUCAAAUAUUUUCCAUAGAUAAUCUGGAUCAUAAACCCACAAUUCAUCGGUCUCAACAAACACACCGCAAAAAGAAGAUUACAUCGAAUAGUUCUCCACAAGAGAGGGGGAGAACAUUGUAUUGAGAUCCAAAAAGAGAGAAGAAGCCAUCUAGCUACUAGCUAUGGACCCAAAGGUUUGAAUUAAACUACUCACACUUCAUCGGAGGGGCUAUGGUGUUGAUGUAGAAGCCCUCCGUGGUAGAUGCCCCCUCCGGCGGAGCUCCGGAACAGGCUCCAAGAUGGGAUCUCAUGGAUACAGAAGGUUACGACGGUGGAAUUAGGUUUUUGGCUCCUCUUCUGAUCUGUCGGGGGUACGUAGGCAUAUAUAGGAGGAAGGAGUAUGUCGGUGGAGCAGCAGGGGGCCCACACACUACAAUAGGAACCCCCCUUCAGCAACGCAUUGAUGCGUUGUGCUAUGUCCAUAUAUGCGUUGCUAAGGUCUACACCAACGAAUUACUAUGCGUUGUCGUUGGUGGCGUUGCUAGGGUCUACAAAAACAUAUAUACAUACGUUGGUAAACAACAUAUAGAAGCAUUGUAAGGUAGCAACAGAAAGAGUUAAAGCUUAACAACAUUUCAUAUGCGUUGGUGGCUACCCUGGACAAUUAUAUAACAUAACAUUGCAAGGACUAGAGGCUUCGCUACAAAGCAUGAAUAUUGGAUGAUAUUUUACACAUUGCCAUCUAGAAAUAUUAGGUCAAUAUAGAGAGUAUAGGAGUCACAAUACAAUAAACAGGAAGGACUCGUAUUAAAUCAACUAUGUUGCAUUACAAAGAACACAAUUCAAAGAAUACAAGAUGUGAAACUAUCUAGUAGUCGCCAAAUUCUCGACCUUGCAAUCAACUAUAAUGUUCGAAACAUUGCCCUAGAAAUGACAUUCUCGGGAUCUAGUACUAGUAGUAGUCCCAUUCCCGUCCUUGAAAUCAGCAUUCGAGCCAUGCAUCAUUCAUUUAUCUUGGAAAUCUACAAAAAAAUGAGGUUAGUAGGGCAGCAAAAUGUAAAGGAGGAGCAACAUACAAAGGUUGAAGGUCAUGACAUUAGUAGCUUUGUACUGAAAGUAGAGUAAUAGCCUACAUCUCACAAACACUUUUGAUCCUUGUUUUCUUAUGAACAAAUCUACUAUAUGUCAACUGAAUUAACGUAAACCAUAAAGCAAGCAUACUAAUGUAGGAAAUUAGGUACUUCCUUUAAAUAAAUAUGUACUGACAUACAACACAUCCUCUGGUUUUAACGAAAGAUAUGUAGUUCUCCAGAAAAUACAAAUAGAUAAAGUUUCAACAAUUCAAAUAUACUUUAUGCAGAAAGAAAAUAAUUCACACUAGGCCAAACUUGGAUGUGCCUUAAUUAGGUACAGUGAUACAUGCUAACAAUUUAGACAUCUAUUUAUAUACUAGGAAAUUGUUUAGUACAAAAUUAAUAGAGGAAACUUUAGUACAAGAAGUCUAAAUCUUGACAAAAUGGGAUAUUAGCCUCUCCGAGCUACAGGACCCUUAGCAACUCCAUAUUCAAUUGUACACAUCAGUUUAGUAAAAUAUUUAGAUCAACAUAAAAUCUACAGGGAAUGCUAGAAGAUAUUAGACAUAGCGCGCGUGUACGAAGAAGUUAAUAUUUGAGAGCAAGAUGAGUACUUACACAAACUUCUCAGUAUCUUAGCUGCAGACAUCACAUGACUGUCUGACUUGGCAUCCAUCUUCUCUUUUCUAGAUUGGGCAAUCUCUCUGUAAUCUAUAAACCAAAAUAGGUUUGUGACAACAUCUUCAGUUUAUCAAAGAUGUUUUUCAUUCAAAAUAGGUUAAUAUGGUUUACUAUGCAAAGUAGGGUGUAUUACCUUGAGCAUAUGGAUGCUUAUCUGAACUCGUAACAUGAAAAAUUGGCCGAUGAAGAACAUGUGAGACAUAAAUAUUUAAUGAUCUUUGUGAAGAAUCAGAUGCUGAUUAAAGAAAGUUAGGAGCCAACACCAUGUAGAAUACUAAGAGUUCUAAUUGAGUAAUUGGAGCAAGGUGAAAUCGUACAGGGUUCUGAUUCAAGCACUGAAAUUCUUAUGGAAACAAGUCAAGAAACAACAAAACGUGUUACAGUCAUAGUAUAGCGUAGUUCCUACAUCCAGUAACUUCACCAUCUUAGAUCCUAGGGGAACACAGAACCUUACAACCAAAGAAGUCAGUACCAUAGUUUCCCCCCGCGGAGUUGGCACUGAUCGAGGGCAGCUCAAGUAGGCCGGCGUCUCCACAACAUGUGAGCACGAGGAGAAGUGCUACGACAUUGCUCGUCGUCGCUGGCUAAUUUUGUAGUGCUUGCCGGCACACCAUUCUGCAAUCAUCGCAAUGAAAAGGUCAAACCAAAACUUACACUGAACACAGCAGGCGGAUCAAUAAUUCAAGUUGACUUAGCGAUUAGUUAAUUAAGGGAGACAAUUUUUUGGUAACUCACAACCAUCCUACGGCCCUGCGUGGAUGACUGGAUGUUCAUCGCACAACAGAUCGAUCUACUACUACGAUGCGAAUGCAAUCCAACAAAUACACACAUGUUGUCUGAAGCAAGGCCGGUUUCAGAACCUGUAAAUGAAUUUAAAUUAAGGAUUAUGUACACAAUAAAGAGGAAUAUUAGGAAAUCGGUAAGGAUUCAGCCACCCACAUAGCAGCAACAACAGACUAUUGAGAUUAAAAAGAAGGACACAAGCAUUCUUCCAGAAUUACACAUAUGCACUCAACCAUACAUCCAAAUAGAUCAGCCAAAGUAUAAACAACUGGCUUGCAUUUACAGAAUUAGAUAGCACUGCACAUUGAAAGAUGUAAGCACGAAACAAAAAUACCUAAGAAUAGCACGAUGGGGCGGCUAACACUAGGUAGAAUAGAUCACAAUCGCGAUUUCCGUCAAAGGUCGACCAGCAGACGAUGGCCAUGUCACCACAAACAGAGGAGAGAAGUGGCUUACUGAACCAUCUAUGUCGAUGUCGGCGGGGUGAGGUAGCAGAGGCGGAUCAGCACCGUCGAGCCCGAGCUGCCAGCGGUGCAUAGGGAGACGCGAGGUAGAUGGCCUACCUGGGAGUCGCAUCGGCGGCCCAUGGCGGCUAGGGUUGCUACAGGGGCAUGUGCAGCGGCGCAGAGGAAGUCGCGGUUGCAGAGGAUCGGGGGAGAGGAUUGAGGGGCAGCCGGUCUGGUGAGCGACGUCCUGGAGAGCACCGGAGCUAGUACAAAUCGGCGGUGGCGGGCAGCAUCGCGUUCAUGGAGUUCAGGGGAGACAAUAAUCGAGGAGGAGGGGAGAUGGCGAAUAGGAAAAAUUGGGGGGAGAUGGGUACUGCCGUACGAGGAGGUUAGAUUUUUUUUCAUAGGAGAGGAGGUUAGCGCUUAGUAGGGGAGGGUGGGAUAAGUCGGGGAGGUGGGAGGUUAACAAACAACACAUAUUAUCGUUUCGUUGGUAGAUAUGUGUUGGUAUAGGUGGGUUCUUGUUGUAGUGCACGAGGUAGGGGGCGCGCCCAGGGGAGGCGCGCCCUCCACCCUCGUGACCGCCUCUUUUGUUCCUUGGAGCAGGGUCCAAGUCUCCUGGAUCACGUUCGGUGAGAAAAUCACGUUCCCGAAGGUUUCAUUCCGUUUGGACUCCGUUUGAUAUUUCAUUUCUUCAAAAUACUGAAAUAGGCAAAAAACAGCAAUUCUGGGCUGGGCCUCCGGUUAAUAGGUUAGUCCCAAAAAUAAUAUAAAAGUGGAAAAUAAAGCCCAAUAUAGUCCAAAACAGUAGAUAAAGUAGCAUGGAGCAAUAAAAAAUUAUAGAUACGUUGAAGACGUAUCACAAGGCCCCAUUUGAAAUUCUAUAUGGCAGAAAGUGUCGUACUCCUCUCAAUUGGUCCGAGACUGGUGAACGCCAACUUCUUGGCAACGACUGGAUCAUAGAAGCAGAAUAAAUCUGUAAAGUCAUCCGUGAAAAUCUCAAAGCCAAGCAAUCGCGCUAGAAGAGUUACUAUGACAGCAAGCACCGUGACUUGGCUUUCGAGAUCGGAGAUCAUGUCUACCUCCGCGUCUCUCCAAUGAAAGGCACUCGUCGCUUCAGUAUCAAAGGGAAGCUUGCCCCUAGAUGCAUGGGUCCUUUCAAGAUCAUUGACAAAAGAGGCGACCUCGCCUAUCAACUCGAGCUUCUGACCAACUUCGAAAAUGUGCACGAUGUGUUUCACAUGUCACAGCUUCGCAAGUGCUUCAAGACGCGUGAGCGCACUAUCAACUUCGAAUAGAUUGACCUCCAAGAAGAUAUGUCUUAUCUCGAGCAUCCCGUUGCUAUUCUCGAAGAAACCGAGCGCAAGACUCACAACAAGUCAAUCAAAUUUCUGAAAGUUAAGUGGUCGCACCAUUCCGACCGAGAAGCCACCUGGGAUAGGAUCACCUCCGUUCCAAAUAUCCGGAGUUCUUUCAGUCCAAGAUCUCGGGACGAGAUCCUCUUGUAGUGGUGGAGUGUUGUAACACCCCGGAUGUAACUUUCCAUAUUUGUAACUCCAACUCUUGCCAUUUCCGGCUAUGUGAUAUAUUAUUUUCUCCGUGGUUGGGUUUUUGUCUUUCGUUUUGCAUUUUGUUCAUGUCAUGCAUUUCAUCUCAUGUCAUCAUGUGCAUCUCAUUUGUAUUCGAGUUCGUCUCAUUCUUUAUUUAUAUUGGUGUUAAACCUACUGUAUUCCAAGUUCUCUAUGGUUCAUACCACUUAAUACUAGCCAUAGAUGCAUCAAAAUAAGCAAACAACACAUGAAAAGCAGAAUCUGUCAAAAAAAAAUAGUCUGUAGCAAUCUGUAACUAACGCAAACUUCUGGAACUCUAAAAAUCCUACCAAAUAGGAAGUCCUGGACAAUUCGUCUACUGAUCAGCGGGAAAAAGAAUCAACGCAAAAGCUCGUUUCUAUGAUUUAACAAAACUAAUUUUGUGCGCGCAAAGUUUCUGUUUUUCAGCAGAAUCAAAUUAACUAUCACCAUAGGUUAUCAUAUAGGUUCUACUUGGCACAAACACUAAUUCAAACAUAAAAACACAUCUAAACAGAAGGUAGAUGCAAAAUUUAUUACUAAACAGAAACAAAAACAAAAAACACAUAUAAAAUUGGGUUGCCUCCCAACUAGCGCUAUCGUUUAACGCCCCUAGCUAGGCAUAAAAGCGAAGAUAGAUCUAAGUAGUGCCAUUUUUGGCAUUCGAUUCAUAAGUAGCUCGCAUGAUAGAUUCAUAAGGUAAUUUAAUUUUUUUUUCUUGGAAAGUGCUUCAUGCCCUUCCUUAAUGGAAAUUGGAAUCUAAUAUUCCCUUCCUUCAUAUCAAUAAUCGCGCCAAUUGUUCUAAGGAAAGGUCUACCAAGUAUAAUAGGGCAAGAAAGAUUGCAACCAAUAUCAAGAACGAUAAAAUCUACCGGCACCAAAUUUCUAUUUGCAACAAUGAGAACAUCAUUGAUCCUUCCCAUUGGCUUUCUAAUGGUGGAAUCCGCAAGGUGCAAAUUUAAAGAGCAAUCAUCAAGAUAAUGGAAACCUAGAAUAUCACAUAAAGUUUUCGGAAUCGUGAAAACACUAGCACACAAAUCACACAAAGCAAAACACUCAUGGUCUUUAAUUUUAAUCUUUAUAGUAGGUUCCCACUCAUCACUAAGUUUUCUAGGUAUAGAAACUUCCAAAUUAAGUUUUUCAUCAUAAGAUUGCAUCAAUGCAUCAACGAUAUGUUUGGUAAAAGCUUUAUUUUGACUAUAAGCAUGAGGAGAAUUAACAACGGAUUGCAACAAGGAAAUACAACCUUCUAAAGAACAAUUAUCAUUAUCAAAUUCCUUGAAAUCCGAGAUAGUGGGUUCAAUGCUAUUUAAAGUCAUGACAUCUCCAAUCCCACUUUUACCAAAUUUAGCAUCAAGAUCUAAAAACUCCGAAUUAUUGGGAUGCCUUCUAACUAAAGUUGACUCAUCUCCGGUCCCUUAUUAAGAUUCAUAUUGCAAAACAAAGAUCUAAUAGGAGACACAUCAAUAAAUUUAAGAUCUUCAUCAUUAUUUUUACCUAAUUUUUCUGGUUUGGCAGCCAUCUUAUUGACUAAGGUAGCUUGCUUAUCAGAAAUUUGUGCGAUAGAAUUUUCAAGCCGGGUAAUCUGAGAGUUCAAACCAUAAAAUUCUUUAGACAUAUCAUCAAGCUCCUUGUUCAUAAACCCCCAAAAACCUUUUCAUUCUUUAAGCUCUUUUCUGAAGAAAUUAUUGUGCUCAAAUUGUAAAGUCAUAAAACUUCUAAUGUUCAAUUCAAUCUCUUCCAUCCUUCUAAGAAGGAGGUCGGUGUUCUUAGGCAAAGCCAUAAGGGAAAACAAGCACACAAAAAGACAAGCGGGAAAGACAGGGCGAAUAAAACGGCAAGGGUGAAGUGAGGGAGAGGAAAACAAGAGGCAAAUGGCAAAUAAUGUAAAUGCGAGGGAGAUGAGUUUGUGAUGGGUACUUGGUAUGUCUUGACUUGAGCGAAGACCUCCCCGGCAACGGCGCCAGAAAUCCUUCUUGCUACGUCUUGAGCUUACGUUGGUUUUCCUUGAAGAGGAAAGGGUGAUGCGGCAAUAGUAGCGUAAGUAUUUCCCUCAGUUUUUGAGAACCAAGGUAUCAAUCUAGUAGGAGGCCCCUCAAAAGUUCCACGCACCUACACAAACAAACAAAGAACUCGCAACCAACGCAAUAAAGGGGUUGUCAAUCCCUUCACGGCCACUUGUGAAAGUGAGAUCUGAUAGAGAUAGUAUGAUAAGAUAAAUAUAUUUUUGGUAUUUUAUGAUAUAGAUUGGAAAAGUAAAGAUGCAAAUAAAAGUAGAUUGAAAACUUAUAUGAUAAAAGAUAGACCCGGGGGCCAUAGGUUUCACUAGUGGCUUAUCUCAAGAUAGCAUAAGUAUUACGGUGGGUGAACAAAUUGCUGUCAAGCAAUUGAUAAAAAAGCGAAUAAUUAUGAGAUUAUCUAGGCAUGAUCAUGUAUAUAGGCAUCAUGUCCGUGACAAGUAGACUGACUCCUGCCUGCAUCUACUACUAUUACUCCACACAUCGACCGCUAUCCAGCAUGCAUCUAGAGUAUUAAGUUCAUAAGAACAGAGUAACACAUUAAGAAAGAUGACAUGAUGUAGAGGGAUAAACUCAUGCAAUAUGAUAUAAACCCCAUCUUUUUAUCCUCGAUGGCAACAAUACAAUACGUGCCUUGCUGCCCGUGCUGUCACUGGGAAAGGACACCGCAAGAUUGAACCCAAAGCUAAGCACUUCUCCCAUUGCAAGAAAGAUCAAUCUAGUAGGCCAAACCAAACUGAUAAUUCGAAGAGACUUGCAAAGAUAACUCAAUCAUACAUAAAAGAAUUCAGAAGAGAUUCAAAUAUUUCUCAUAGAUAAACUUGAUCAUAAACCCACAAUUCAUCGGAUCUCGACAAACACACCGCAAAAAGAGUCACAUCGAAUAGAUCUCCACAAGGGAGGGGGAGAACAUGGUAUUGAGAUCCAAAAAGAGAGAAAAAGCCAUCUAGCUAAUAACUAUGGACCCGAAGGUCUGUGGUAAACUACUCACAACUCAUCAGAGGGGCUAUGGUGUUGAUGUAGAAGCCCUCCAUGGUCGAUCCCCCCUCCGGCGGAGCGCCGGCGAAGGCUCCAAGAUGGGAUCUCGCGGAUACAGAAGGUUACGACGGUGGAAAUUGUUUUUUGUUGGCUCCCUGGAUGUUUUCAGGGUACAUGGGUAUAUAUAGGAGGAAGAAGUAUGUUAGUGGCCGCCCGAGGGGCCCACGAGACAGGGGGCGCGCCCUGUAGGGGUGGGCGCGCCCUCCACCCUCGUGGCCGCCUCGAUCGCCUCUUGACUUGCACUCCAAGUCCUCUGGAUCACGUUCGUUCCAAAAAUCACGCUCCCGAAGGUUUCAUUCCGUUUGGACUCUGUUUGAUAUUCCUUUUCUUCGAAAUACUGAAAUAGGCAAAAAAAUACGGGCUGGGCCUCCGGUUAGUAGGUUAGUCCCAAAAAUGAUAUAAAUGUGUAAAAUAAAGCCCAUAAACAUCCAAAAGGGGUAAUAUAAUAGCAUGGAACAAUCAAAAAUUAUAGAUACAUUGGAGACGUAUCAAGCAUCCCCAAGCUUAAUUCCUGCUCGUCCUCGAGUAGGUAAAUGAUAAAAACAGAAUUUUUGAUGUGGAAUGCUACCUAGCAUAAUUCUCAAUGUAAUUUCCUUUAUUGUGGCAUGAAUGUUCAGAUCCAAAUGAUUCAAAAUAAAAGUUCAUAUUGACAUAAGAAAUAGUAAUACUUCAAGCAUAUUAAUAAAAGCAAUCAUGUCUUCUCAAAAUAACAUGGCUAAAGAAAGUUCAUCCCUACAAAAUCAUAUAGUUAGGCUAUGCUUUAUUUUCGUCACACAAAAAUGUUCCCAAAUUCUACACCCCUGAUGACAAGCCAAGCAAUUGUUUCGUACUUAAAUAAUCUCAAACUUUUUCAACUUUCACGCAAUACAUGAGCGUGAGCCAUGGAUAUAGCACUAUGGGUGGAAUAGAAUAUGAUGAUGGGGAUUGUGUGGAGAAGACAAAAAAGGACAAAAGUCUCAAAUUGACGAGGAUAAUCAAUGGGCUAUGGAGAUGCCCCUCAAUUGAUGUCAACAUGAGGAGUAGGGAUUGCCAUGCAACGGAUGCACUAGAGCUAUAAAUGAAUGAAAGCUCAACAAAAGAAAACUAGUGGGUGUGCAUCCAACUUGCUUGCUCACGAACAUCUAGGGAAUUUGAGGAAGCCCAACGUAGGAAUAUACAAGCCAAGUUCUAUAAUGAAAAAUUCCCACUAGUAUAUGAAAGUGACAACAUAUGAGACUCUCUAUAUGAAGAACAUGGUGCUACUUUGAAGCACAAAAUAUGAGACUCGCUAUAUGAAGAACAUGGUGCUACUUUGAAGCACAAGUGUGGAAAAAGAGAUAGUAACAUUGCCCCUUUUUAUUUAUUUUCUUUUUUUAUUUUUCUUUAUUUCUUUCUCUUUUUUUGGGCCUUUCUUUUUUUCCUUUUGGCCUUUCUUUUUUUUUCUUUUUUUCUUUUUGGGGACAAUGCUCUAAUAAUGAUGAUCAUCACACUUUUUUAUUGGUUACAACACAUGAAUUACAACUCGAAACUAGAACAAGAUAUGACUCUAUAUGAAUGCCUCCGGCGGUGUACCGGGAUGGUGCAAUGAAUCAAGAGUGACAUGUAUGAAAAAUUAUGCAUGGUGGCUUUGCCACAAAUACGAUGUCAACUAGAUGAUCAUGCAAUGGCAAUAUGACAAACGUAAUGCGUGUCAUGAUGAUAAACGGAACGGUGGAAAGUUGCAUGGCAAUAUAUCUCGGAAUGGCUAUGGAAAUGCCAUAAUAGGUAGGUAUGGUGGCUGUUUUGAGGAAGGUAUAUGGUGGGUGUAUGGUACCGGCGAAAGUUGCGCGGCACAAGAGAAGCUAGCAAUAAUGGAUGGGUGAGGUGCGUAUAAUCCAUGGACUCAACAUUAGUCAAAAGAACUCAUGUACUUGUUGCAAAAAUUUAGAAGUCAUCAAAAACCAAAGCACUACGCGCAUGCUCCUAGGGGGAUAGAUUGGUAGGAAAAGACCAUCGCUCGUCCCCGACCGCCACUCAUAAGGAAGACAAUCAAUAAAUAAAAUUGUGCUCCAACUUCAUCACAUAGCAGUUCACCAUACGUGCAUGCUACGGGAAUCACAAACUUCAACACAAGCAUUCUUUAAAUUCAUAAUCACCCAACUAGCAUGACUUUAAUAUCACUACCUCCAUAUCUCAAAACAAUUAUCAAGCAUCAUAUUGAUCAUAGCAUCCAAUUCUUUUUCUAUGAUAGUUUUUAUUAUACCCAACUUGGAUGUUCAUCAUUCUAAGACCAACUUUGUAACCAUAGCAAAUACCAUGCUGUUCUAAAAGACUAUCAAAACAAUAUAAGUGAAGCAUGAGAGACUAGAAAUUUCUUCAAAAUUAAGACACCAUCGUGCUCUAAAAGAUAUAAGUGAAGCACUAGAGCAAAAACUAUCAAGCUCAAAAGAUAUAAGUGAAGCACAUAGAGUAUUCUAGCAAAUUCUAAUCAAAUAGGCUUCUCCCAAAAGGUGUGUACAGCAAGGAUGAUUGUGGUAAACUAAAAAGCAAAAACUAAUAUAAUACACUAGGCUCCAAGCAAAACACGUAUCAUGUGGCGAAUAAAAAUAUAGCUCCAAGUAAAGUUACCAAUGAACGAAGAUGAAAGAGGGGAUGCCUUCCCGGGGCAUCCCCAAGCUUAGGCUUUUGGCUAUACUUGGAUAUCUUGGGGUGCCUUGGGCAUCCCCAAGAUUAGGCUCUUGCCACUCCUUAUUCUAUAGUCCAUAAAAGCUUUACCCAAAACUUGAAAACUUCACAACACAAAACUCAACAGGAAAUCUUAUAAGCUCCGUUAGUGAAAGAAAACAAAACCACCACAUAAGGUACCGCAAUGAACUCAUUAUUUAUUUAUUUUGGUGUUAAACCUACUGUAUUCCAACUUCUCUAUGGUUUAUAAACUAUUUUACUAGCCAUAGAUGCAUCAAAAUAAGCAAACAACACACGAAAAGCAGAAUCUGUCAAAAAUAGAACAGUAUGUAGUAAUCUGUAACUAACGCAAACUUCUGGAACUCUAAAACUCCUACCAAAAUAGGAAGUCCUGGAAACUUUGUUUAUUGAUCAGCGGAAAAAAGAAUCAACGCAAAAGCACGUUCCUGUGAUUUAACAAAAUUAUAUUGGUGCGCGCAAAGUUUCUGUUUUUCAGCAGAAUCAAAUCAACUAUCAUCAUAGGUUAUCCUAUAGGUUCUACUUGGCACAAACACUAAUUAAAAGAUAAAAACACAUCUAAACAGAGAGUAGAUGCAAGAUUUAUUACUAAACAGGAGCAAAAACAAAAAACAUAAAGAAAAAUUGGGUUGCCUCCCAACUAGCGCUAUCGCUUAACGCCCCUAGCUAGGCAUAAAAGGGAAGAUAGAUCUAACGAGUGCCUUCUUUGGCACUCAAUUCUUCAAUAGAGCACGUAUAAUCUUAAGGGGUUUCUCCCUUUUUAGCAAUGAUUAAACCUUUGGGAAAAAAUUCAAGAAAUUCGUUUGUAGCGAAAGGUUCCUUAACGAUCGAAAGACAAUUGGGAUGAACACUUAUGGAUUUGAGAUCCGCGUCUCCCUUACUAGAAGUUUCACCCUUAUUUUUAGGAACAUAAAUGAACUUGGCGGUUUUUGUAGGGGGUUUUGGAGUGUUUUUUAUGAGAUAAAACGCCGAACCUAAGUUGGUAAUUAUAUCCUCAAGUUUACCAAUUCUAGCAGAAUCAAGAUCUAUUUUUUCAUUAACUAUAGGUUCUUUCUCUUUAAGAUUUUUCAAAGUAACUCCAACCCUAGAUUCAUAUUGGGUGAUAAGAUUAUGAAUCUUUUAUCCAAAUUUUCAAUCAACUCAACAGUGACAAUUUUAUUUUCAAUAAUAUCAAGCCGUUGCAUAACAUGUUCUAAGGUUAAAACAGUUCCAUUAACCAAAAGAGGUGGUGGGCCAAACAAAUCUAACAUAGCAUUAUAAGCAUCAAACGUAUGGCUACUCAAGAAAUCACCUCCGGCGACAGUAUCAAGAACACAUCUAUUCCAAGGAGUGGUGCCUACAUAAAAAUUGCGGAGAAGAACGGAAGUAGAAAGCUUCCUAGUAGAUCUAUUUUGAGCAUUGCAAAUUCUAUGCCAAGCAUCUUUUAAAUUUUCUCCCUCCCUUUGUUUAAAAUUGAGGAUUUCAUGUUCGGGAGUAAUAAUGAGGAUAGGAAGACUAGCCAUAAUGAUGAGGUAACGAACCGACAACGAGCAAACAGAAAAGGCAAGCGAAAGAGAAGAGGAGAUUGGUAAAGAGAGGGCGAAUAAAACGGCAAGGGUGAAGUGGGGGAGAGGAAAACGAGAGGCAAAUGGCAAAUAAUAUAAAUGCGAGGGAUAUGGGUUUGUGAUGGGUACUUGGUAUGUCUUGACUUGAGCGAAGACCUCCCCGGCAACGGCGCCAGAAACCCUUUUUGAUACGUCUUGAGCUUGCGUUGGUUUUCCUCGAAGAGGAGAGGGUGAUGCAGCAAGUGUAGCGUAAAUAUUUCCCUCGGUUUUUGAGAACUAAUGUAUCAAUCCAGUAGGAGGCUCCUCAAAAGUCCCACGCACCUACACAAACAAACUGAGAACUCGCAACCAACGCAAUAAAGGGGUUGUCAAUCCCUUCACGGCCACUUGUGAAAGUGAGAUCUGAUAGAGAUAGUAUGAUAAGAUAAAUAUAUUUUUGGUAUUUUAUAACAUAGAUGAAAAAAGUAAAGAUGCAAAUAAAGGUAGAUUGGAAGCAAAUAUGAUAAGAGAUAGACCCGGGGGCCAUAGGUUUCACUAGAGGCUUCUCUCGAGAUAGCAUAAGUAUUACGAUGGGUGAACAAAUUACUGUCGAGCAAUUGAUAGAAAAGCAAAUAAUUAUGAGAUUAUCUAGGCAUGAUCAUGUAUAUAGGCAUCAUGUCCGUGACAAGUAAACGGACUCCUGCCUGCAUCUACUACUAUUACUCCACACAUCGACCGCUAUCCAGCAUGCAUCUAGAGUAUUAAGUUCAUAAGAACAGAGUAACACAUUAAGAAAGAUGACAUGAUGUAGAGGGAUAAACUCAUGCAAUAUGAUAUAAACCCCAUCUUUUUAUCCUCGAUGGCAACAAUACAAUACGUGCCUUGCUGCCCGUGCUGUCACUGGGAAAGGACACCGCAAGAUUGAACCCAAAGCUAAACACUUCUCCCAUGGCAAGAAAGAUCAAUCUAGUAGGCCAAACCAAACUGAUAAUUCGAAGAGACUUGUAAAGAUAACUCAAUCAUACAUAAAAGAAUUCAGAGAAGAUUCAAAUAUUAUUCAUAGAUAAACUUGAUCAUAAACCCACAAUUCAUCGGAUCUUGAUGAACACACCGGAAAAGAUAUUACAUCGAAUAGAUCUCCACAAGAGAGGGGAAUAACAUUGUAUUGAGAUCCAAAAAGAGAGAAGAAGCCAUCUAACUAAUAAGUGUGGACCCGUAGGUAUGUGGUAAACUACUCACAACUCAUCGGAGGGGCAAGGAUGUUGAUGUAGAGGCCCUCCGUGGUCGAUUCCCCCUCCGACAGAACGCCGGCGAAGGCUUCAAGAUGGGAUCUAGCGGAUACAGAAGGUUACGGUGGUGUAAAUUGUGUUUCGUCUGCUCCUUGGAUGUUUUCGGGAUACGUAGGUAUAUAUAGGAGGAAGGAGUAUGUCGGUGGACGCCAGAGGGGCCCACGAGACAGGGGGCGCACCCUAUAGGGGGGGCCUCCUAUCUCGUGGGAGCCUCGGCCGCUUCUUGACUUGCACUCCAAGUCCUCCGGAUCAUGUUCGUUCCAAAAAUCACGCUCCCGAAGGUUUCAUUCCUUUUGGACUCCGUUUGAUAUUCCUUUUCUUCGAAAUACUGAAAUAGGCAAAAAAACAGCAAUAUGGGUUGGGCCUCCGGUUAGUAGGUUAGUCCCAAAAAUGAUAUAAAUGUGUAAAAUAAAGCCCAUAAACAUCCAAAAGAGGUAAUAUAAUAGCAUGGAACAAUCAAAAAUUAUAGAUAUGUUGGAGAUGUAUCAGAAAGGACACUGCAAGAUUGAACCCAAAGCUAAGCACUUCUCCCAUUGCAAGAAAGAUCAAUCUAGUAGACCAAACCAAACUGAUAAUUCAAAUAGACUUGCAAAGAUAACUCAAUCAUACAUAAAAGGAUUCAGAAGAGAUUCAAAUAUUUCUCAUAGAUAAACUUGAUCAUAAACCCACAAUUCAUCGGAUCUCGACAAACACACCGCAAAAAGAGUUACAUCGAAUAGAUCUCCACAAGAGAGGGGGAGAACAUGGUAUUGAGAUCCAAAAAGAGAGAAGAAGUCAUCUAGCUAAUAACUAUGGACUUGAAGGUCUAUGGUAAACUACUCACAACUCAUCGGAGGGGCUAUGGUGUUGAUGUAGAAGCCCUCCAUGGUCGAUUCCCCCUCCGGCAAAGCGCCGGCGAAGGCUCCAAGAUGGGAUCUCGCGGAUACAGAAGGUUACGGCGGUGGAAAUUGUUUUUCGUUGGCUCCCUGGAUGUUUUCGGGGUACGUGGGUAUAUAUAGGAGGAAGAAGUACGUCGGUGGCCGCCCGAGGGGCCCACGAGACAAGGGGCACGCCCUAUAGGGGUGGGCGCGCCCUCCACCCUCGUGGCCGCCUCGAUCGCUUCUUGACUUGCACUCCAAGUCCUCUGGAUCACGUUCGUUCCAAAAAUCACGCUCCCGGAGGUUUCAUUCUGUUUGGACUCCGUUUGAUAUUCCUUUUCUUCGAAAUACUAAAAUAGGCAAGAAAAACAGCAAUACGGGCUGGGCCUCCGGUUAGUAGGUUAGUCCCAAAAAUGAUAUAAAUGUGUAAAAUAAAGCCCAUAAACAUCCAAAAGGGGUAAUAUAAUAACAUGGAACAAUCAAAAAUUAUAGAUACGUUGGAGACGUAUCACCCUUCUCCUCCACUUCCUCCUGAAGUUGCUCAACUACUGACUGGAUCUCAGUUACCUUGACAUCAAGAUCAUAGAAUUUCUGCUCAAUGGUCCUCUCCAAGCUCUCCUGGUUUUGAGUCAGGGUGGCCAAGCCCUUCUCAAUCCUCAAGGUGGAGGCAAUCAGAUAUCCAAGCUGAUCUUGCUUGCUUUUCAAGAAUACUUGAGAUGCCUCUUCAGCUGUUGGCAUCUUUGUAGCUUUCUCUGCCCUUGCCUUCUCUCUCUUCUCAUGUGCUUGCACUGAUGAUGGAUCUUCAUCAUUCAUGACAACAAUGUUGUCCUCAAAGUCUGGCUUGAGGGGUAAGUCCUCCUUGUUCAACAAAUAUGUGCAUGUGCCCAUCUUGGAGUUGAUGAGCACCUAAAUUUGUGGAGCAUACCCACAAGAUCUCUUCUGAUCUGCAGCUGUCCUCUUGAUUGUUUCCACAAUCAGACUCAUCACUUUGAACUUUUGAGGGACAUCAAAUAUAUGCAGCAAGUUGAUGGAGUGUCCUCUGAUCAUUCUGUGAUCUCCUGAUUUUGGCAACAGAGUGUGCCUCGGAAUGGUAUUGAUUGUAGGCAGUCCUGACAGCAAGUGCUUUACUGAGCCAAACUUGUGAGUCUCCAGGUCUGCAUCAGGUAUCUCUUUGUACAUGCUGGCCAUUGAGUUGUGAUCCUUCUUCUUCUUGGCAUAGACAUCCAAGUCAUCUUCAUGAGCUUCUGCAGCAUUGAUCAAUCUAGCUCACUCAUCAACUGUAGAUUGGUACCUUGUACCCUCUAACAUCCACACAAUUUUGCCUUCUGGAUAGAAAUGAGCAGUUGAAUAGAAUUGCAUAAUCAGCUCAUCAUUCCACUUAGUGAGCUUUUGGCCAACAAACUUGUCAAUCUCACAUGCCUUGAAGCUGUCAUAGACACCCGGGAAGUGCUCUUCAUUCUCUCUUAUGUAGGUCCAGUCCACGCAUCUCAUGUCACACACUAUGGGCUUCUUUUCAAGCAGGAUUGUCUCAUAGAAAUCUUGUUGUUCCUUUGUGUGGAAUCUGUAAUCCACAGCAGUUCUCCUCCUGACAGCAUAUGGGUCAUUCUUUCUCCACUGUCUCAGAUCUGCAUCCUUCCUGAUCCUCAUAUCCUCUGCAACAGGAUGUGCAUCAUUAUGAUGUGGGAUCUUGGGCUUUAGCUUUCAUAGCACUUGAGCUUCAGCUUCCUCUUCUUCAGCUUCAGGCACUGGGGCCUUGUUCUUUUCCUCAGCAGGUAUGUUCCUGGUACUCCUCUUGGGUGUAGUCUUGGGAACUGUAGCAGCAGCUUUGGGAGCAGAUUUGGGCUUAGGAGCAGCCCCUGACCUAAUAGCAUCUCCCAUGAGCUUCUGUGCCUUAGGUGCUGGAGCGGCAUCCUCUUCCUCUUCAUUUUUAGAUUCUCUCAUCAUGGAGGGUUUUCCAAUAAUCCUAGCAAUGGUCUUCUUGACCCUCUCUUUCCUCUUCUUCUCAUCCACAACUGGUUCUUUGGGUUCAGAUCCCAAAGUUUCUUAAGUGGAUGCUCUGGCCUUAGACAUAGGAACUCUUCUUGCUGGUGCCUUCUUGUUCAUGCCUGGCUUAGUUGAUGCAACUGUGCCAAAUUCUUUCUUCACUACCUUCUUCUUGGAAGUGACCUCAUCCUCAGCUGCAAUAUAGUCCUCAUCCUCUGAAUCAGAAUUUCUCUUCUUCCUUGUUCUAGUAGCUGCCUUGGGCAAGUUACUAGGUGUGCUCCUACUGACCUCAUCAUAGCUGCUGGAGGGACUAGUGCCCUCACUCAAUUUUCCUUGCUGUUCAGACCUGUUCUGGCUGUCACUCUAGUCAGACAUCUUUCAGGCAAACUGUCAGCAGACCCUGUGAAUAUGUUGUAGAUGAGGUAGAGUAGAUGAGCAUCACGAAGUACAGAGGUUUUGCAAAACAAAUUGAGUCAAAAAGAUUAGUUUUAGUUCUCUACAGAAGUGAUCUCAGAGCUACCGAAUUGACAAACUCGGUGAUACUGAAGCAACACUUGGAACCUAAACUAGUGAACUCGGUUGGGCCGAGUCACAGUUCGGUGGCACCGAGAUUGCUAGGGUUUCAUAGAAUUCUGAACUGGUCACACCGAUGUGCACGUCUCGGUCAGACCGAAAAGCGCAAGUGCAAUGGCCGAAGUCGAAUCGGUGAGACCGAUUUCUACAUUUCGGUCGGUUCGAGAUGAGUUCUGUGGAGGGCUAACCCUAAAACUUUCGAAUCAAUCUAGACCUAAGGAAGAUCUGGCUGGAUAGAUUAAUCUCAUCUGUGGCAAGAAGUACGACAUUGUCCUUGUGCUAGGAAUCAGAGUGAUAAAGAUAGCACAGGGGUUCGAACACAUACCCUACAGCGGCGAGUGUUCGCUAUGGAGGCGACGACGGAGCAUAAUCCAUCGACGGCGGCAGAGUCCAACGGUGGCAGGUCGUUGGCGGCGAAGAGAUGAUCCAGAGACCCGAGGGGGCAGGGCAGGACACGCGCGGGCUGAGAAGUUUUUGAAGUAAUUUCCAAAAUCUCACCCGUGGGUAUAUAUAUCCCGACCCUGUCGGUGUGACCAAGUGGAAAUGGUGUGACCAAGUGGAACAACUGGGUCGCACCAAGAUUGCAGAACUGCAAGCAGUUGCUGCAACUCGGUGUGACCGAAGUGUUCAAAUCGGUUGCACCGAGAUGAAAACCUAGAUCAACUUAGUGAACUCGGUUUGACCGAAAUGGAUUUCUCGGUCAGACCAAAAUGCAGAAAGAGGUUUUGGAAGUUUAAGUCUAUGACGAAUUGGGGACUCCGAGUGCUCCUCACACAGAGUGGUUCAAAUCUUACUUGAUCAAACUUUGUGAUGUAGCAUGAAUAGAGUUUGAGACGAGAAAAGCAUAGAUAGCUAGAGAAGGUUCUUAGGCAUUCUUGUCCAUCCACUUGGCAAAAGAAAAAGAAACCAAACAAUCAAAACUACAAGUGGAUGUCCUUGAAUGAGAGAAAUAUGCAAACGACGUGCUCACACAAUAAAAUGGCAAAUGAAAUAUGUGACAAAGCAUGCACAACCAAUUCUAGCAUCUAUCAAACAAUUGGCGAUGACUAGGUUAUCUAUAUAUGAGUAUAUUGACUUAGGAGUCAAAUGAGAACAUUUGAUCAUAGGUCAUACUCAUCGUUUAAGCACAAGUGGGGUUACCACUUUUACAUAAGCAUUGUUGUGUUCACACCAUUAGAGUUGCUUUAGCUCAAUUCUUUAGAGUAAAGCUCCCCCUAGAUGUGAGAUUCCCCCUAAGAGGGAUGAACUAACCUUGGGUUUUGUCGAUGAUGACUUCAUGUAGGUGUUAAAGAUGUGGAUUCUCACCGUUGUUGAUCGUUUGGAGCAAUCCAUUGGAGUGGUUUGCACUUUCAAUACCUACACGGGUUAGUCCCACAAGGAACAAGCAAGAAUAUCCAUAGACAUAGAGUGAUGCACACACAAGAUGAUGUCCAUGAAAGCAUCUGGUUACCUUGUCCCUUGUCUUACCAACAAGAGGGUUUGUGACUCCUUGAACUAGUGCAAGAUGUGGAAGUUGAUUGCACUUGUCCUUGCCAAAAUGAUAUGAGUGAAGAUAUAUUGGCAGAAUCACCCUCAAGAACUCUCUAGUUUUUCUUCUUUGGGAUCCACAUCAUCUUGAUGGGAAUCCUUGGGGUGGUAGUGGAACUUGAUGAAGUAGAGCUUGAUGUAGUCUUCGGAACCCACCUGACCAAGUCCUUGUGAGCUUCUUCAAAUGCAUCAAUCUCCUCUUGAAGCUUGUCCUUGCCUUUUUGCUUGCGGUCUUGUGGUGGAAGAUCAUCUUGAGCUUGUGUCCCUUGGAAAGAAGUAGGAUCAUACUUCUCUUGUUGGGGAACAAACUUUGUCUUGGGGUAUUGAUCUUCUUCCCACUCAACUCCAUUGGCAUUAAACUUUCAUUCAAAACCAACACCUUGAUUCUUCCGGUGCCUUCCUUGCUUGCGUACAAUUUCUCCAAAUUGCUUACUCCCGGCAAGGCUCUUGUAGACACCCUUCUCUAUAAUUCCCUUCAAUAAGCUAUUUUCUUGCUCAAGUGUAACUUGGCUAAGAGAAUCAUUAGUGGAAUCAAGAGAACUACUAGAAGCAACAACAUUUGAUUUAGCAUGAUUAUUGUUACUACUAGAAGAAUCUUUCUUGCUCUUGUUACUAGACUUGACUUGUGGCAUGUAAGUAGUUAAGAGUAAAUGCUUGGCAAUGUAAGAAGAAGUUUUCUUGCAAAGAUUAUCAUUAAUUGCCUUUAAAAACUCAUGCUCUUGCUCAUAGUUGAGCUUUUCAAAGCGUAACUUCUCAUGAGUCUUUAAAAGUUCUCGAUGAUCUUCCAAGAUAGUUUCAUGAGCUAACUUAAGAGUGUUUAGUUCUUUAGUUAGGCUCUCAAUCUUCUCCUUAUCAUUGUCAUUCGUUUUACCUUGAUUAGCAUGAUUAAUUGACGUUUCAUCAUAGUAUUCAUCACUAGAGUUGUCAACAAGUAAAUCAUCAUCACCUAACAAGUUAUCUUCAUCACUAUUGAAAUCAACAUACUCGGGGUGUGAUACCUUUGGGCCUUUAGCCAUGAAGCAUCUUCCAAUUCCUUUAUUUGGUGAGUCAAAUAUGGCGUCGGAGUUGGUUGACACAAGUGCUAGACCGGCAACACCUUCAUCUUGAGUAUGUUCGGAGUCGGAGUGAUAGCUUCUCUCGGAGUGAUUGUCGGAGUUGGAGCCAGAUACCCAUUCAGCAACAUGAGCUUGAUGUCUUUGUUUUGUGUAGCUCUUUGAUGAUUUGUCCCUCCUUUCCGAAUCCCUGCUUCUUCGGGAUGUUCUUCGUUCAUAGUGAUCAUCUCUACUCCUCCUCUCUCUUGGUGGUGAUUCAUCUCUUCUACUUCUCCUGUUGGGUGAAUCUUCUCUCCUUUUGUAAGGAGCCGUACACUCAUUGGAAUAGCGUCCGAGUCUUCCACAAUGGUAACAAUUACGUUCACGACUCGAAGAUCUGUUGUCAUUGUAGGACCUUGACUUGAAGCUUCUUUCCUUGCUUCUACUCUUGUAGAACUUGUUGAAGUUUUUCACCAUUAGGCUCAAUUCCUCAUUGAAGGUUUGUUUCUCACGUGAUGAUGUAGGAGCAUCACAUGAGGCUUUAUAAGCACCACUUGACUUGUUGUGUAGCUCUUCCUUAUCCUUGAGUGACGUCUCAUGAGCAACAAUUCUUCCAAUGACUUUCGUUGGCUUGAGAUCUUUAUAGUUGGGCAUCAUUUGGAUCAACGUGCACACGGUAUCAUAUUUUCCAUCCAAGGCUCUUAGGAUCUUCUUGAUGAUGAAUUUGUCGGUCAUCUCUUCACUUCCUAAGCCGGCAAUCUCAUUUGUGAUGAGAGCAAGCCUAGAGUACAUUUCAGCAACACCUUCACCAUCCUUCAUUUUGAACUUGUCAAGUUGACUUUGAAGCACAUCCAAUUUGGAUUCCUUGACGGAGUCGUCACCUUCGUGCAUGUCAAUCAAAGUAUCCCAAAUUUCCUUUGCAUUCUCAAGGCGGCUGAUUUUGUUGAAUUCUUUGGGGCACAAUCCGUUGAAGAGAAUAUCACAAGCUUGUGCGUUGUAUUGCAGCAUCUUCAACUCUUCCGCGGUAGCUUCACGGCUCGGUUCUUUCCCAUCGAAGAAUUCACCUUGCAAGCCAAUACAAACAAUAGCCCAAACGGCGGGGUUAUGUCCAAGAAUAUGCAUUUUCCUCUUAUGCUUCCAACUAGCAAAAUUUGUACCAUCAAAGUAAGGACCUCUAUGGUGGUAAUUUCCCUCGCUAGACACCAUACUAUCCUAGGUUGUGAAACCAAGGCUAUGAUCACCAAAAGCUAUGGAAAUCAAGGCAAAUGGAGACCAAAGCACUGAUACCAAUUGUAGGAUCGAAAGUAUGUCUAAAGGGGGGGUGAUUAGACUACUUGAUCAAAUAAAAACUUAACCUUUUCCCAAUUUUAGUUCUUGGCAGAUUUUAACAACUUAGCACAAGUCAAGCAAUCUUAACACAAUUCAAGCAAUCAUGCAAUGAGUAUAUAAGCAGCGGAAAGUAAAGCAUGCAACUUGCAAGAAUGUAAAGGGAAGGGUUUGGAGAGAGCAAACGCAAAUUGGAGACACAUAUGUUUUUGGCGUGGUUCUAAUAACCCGCAUGUAUAAAAGAUCAAUGUAGCCUAUUUCGAUAAGUAAGAGUGUCGAACCCAACGAGGAGCUAAAGGUAGAACAAAUAUUCUCUCAAGUCCUAUCUGCCACUGAUACGACUCUACGCAUGCUUAGUGUUCGCUUUACCUAGAACAAGUAUGAAACUAGAAGUACUUUGUAUGUGUUGUUGGAUAGGUUUGAAAGAUAAUAAAGAGCACGUAAAUAUAAACUAGGGGCUGUUUAGAUAAAGAUGCAAAUAAAGUAAAUAUAGCGAGUGUGGAAAAGUCAUGGUAGGAGUUGUGAAAUUGUCCCUAAGCAAUUGACUACUUUACUAGACCGAUAGCAAGUUUUAUGUGGGAGAGGCAUAAGCUAACAUACUUUCUCUUCUUGGGUCAUAUGCACUUAUGAUUGGAACUCUAGCAAGCAUCCGCAACUACUAAAGAUCAUUAAGGUAAAACCCAACCAUAGCAUUAAAGUAUCAAGUCCCCUUUAUCCCAUAUACAACAAUCCCCUUGUUGGAAAUAUGCCCUAGAGGCAAUAAUAAAAGUAUUAUUAUUAUAUUUCCUUGUUCAUGAUAAUUGUCUUUUAUUCAUGCUAUAACUGUAUUAUCCGGAAAUCGUAAUACACGUGUGAAUACAUAGACCACAAUAUGUCCCUAGUGAGCCUCUAGUUGACUAGCUCGUUGUGAUCAACAAAUAGUCAUGGUUUCCUGGCUAUGGACAUUGGAUGUCGUUGAUAACGGGAUCACAUCAUUAGGAGAAUGAUGUGAUGGACAAGACCCAAUCCUAAGACUAGCACAAAAGAUCGUGUAGUUCAUUUGCUAGAGCUUUGCCAAUGUCAAGUAUCUCUUCCUUCGACCAUGAGAGCGUGUAACUCCUGGAUACCGUAGGAGUGCUUUGGGUGUAUCAAACGUCACAACGUAACUGGGUGACUAUAAAGGUGCACUACAGGUAUCUCCGAAAGUAUCUAUUGUUUUAUGCGGAUCGAGACUGGGAUUUGUCACUCCAUGUAAACGGAGAGGUAUCUCUGGGCCCACUCGGUAGGACAUCAUCAUAUGCGCAAUGUGACCAAGGAGUUGAUCACGGGAUGAUGUGUUACGAAACGAGUAAAGUGACUUGCCGGUAACGAGAUUGAACAAGGUAUUGGAUACCGACGAUCGAAUCUCGGGCAAGUAACAUACCGAUAGACAAAGGGAAUUGAAUACGGGAUUGAUUAAGUCCUUGACAUCGUGGUUCAUCCGAUGAGAUCAUCGUGGAACAUGUGGGAGCCAUCAUGGGUAUCCAGAUCCCGCUGUUGGUUAUUGACCGGAGAACGUCUCGGUCAUGUCUACAUGUCUCCCGAACCCGUAGGGUCUACACACUUAAGGUUCGAUGACGCUAGGGUUAUAAAGGAAGUUUGUAUGUGGUUACCGAAUGUUGUUCGGAGUCCCGGAUGAGAUCCCGGACGUCACGAGGAGUUCCAGAAUGGUCCGGAGGUAAAGAUUUAUAUAUGGGAAGUCCUAUUUUGGCCACCGGAAAAUGUUCGGGAUUUUUCGGUAUUGUACCGGGAAGGUUCUAGAAGGUUCCAGAGUGGGGCCCACCUGCAUGGGGGGACCCACAUGAACGUGGGUAGUGGGGGCAAGGCCCCACACCCCUGGUCAAGGCGCACCAAGAUCCCCCCUUAGAAGGAAUAAGAUCAUAUCCCGAAGGGAUAAGAUCAAGAUCCCUAAAAGGGGGGGAUAACAAUCGGUGGGGAAGGAAAUGAUGAGAUUUCUUUCUUCCCACCUUGGCCAACGCCCCAAUGGACUUGGAGGGCAAGAAACCAGCCCCUCCAUCCCUAUAUAUAGUGGGGAGGCGCAUGGGAGCGAUAGACGAAGUUCUGGCGCAGCCCUCCCCCUCUCCUAAGUACUUCUCCUCUCCCGCGGUGCUUGGCGAAGCCCUGCAGGACUACCACUCUCCUCCAUCACCACCACGCCGUUGUGCUGCUGCUGGAUGGAGUCUUCCUCAACCUCUCCCUCUCUCCUUGCUGGAUCAAGGCGUGGGAGACGUCACCGGGUUGUACGUGUGUUGAACGCGGAGGUGCCGUGCGUUCGGCACUUGAUCAUCGGUGAUUUGAAUCACGACGAGUACGACUCCAUCAACCCCGUUCACUUGAACGCUUCCGCUUAGCGAUCUACAAGGGUAUGUAGAUGCACUCUCCUUCUACUCGUAGCUGGUUUCUCCAUAGAUAGAUCUUGGUGACACGUAGGAAAUUUUUUGAAUUUCUGCUACGUUCCCCAACAGUGGCAUCAUGAGCUAGGUCUAUUGCGUAGAUUCUUUGCACGAGUAGAACACAAAGUAGUUGUGGGCGUUGAUGUUGUUCAAUAUGCUUACCGUUACUAGUCCAAUCUUGUUUCGACGGUAUUGUGGGAUGAAGCGGCCCGGACCGACCUUACACGUACUCUUACGUGAGACAGGUUCCACCGAUUUGACAUGCACUUGGUGCAUAAGGUGGCUAGCGGUCCUUAUGAAGGGUAAAUAGCAAUUGGCAUAUCACGUUGUGGUUUUGCGUAGGUAAGAAACGUUCUUGCUAGAAACCCAUAGCAGCCACGUAAAACAUGCAAACAACAAUUAGAGGACGUCUAACUUAUUUUUGCAGGGUAUGCUAUGUGAUGUGAUAUGGCCAAGAGGAAUGUGAUGAAUGAUAUGUGAUGUAUGAGAUUGAUCAUGUUCUUGUAAUAGGAUUCACGACUUGCAUGUCGAUGAGUAUGACAACCGGCAGGAGCCAUAGGAGUUGUCUUUAUUUAUUGUAUGACCUGCGUGUCAUUGAACAACGCCAUGUAAAUUACUUUACUUUAUUGCUAAACGUGUUAGCCAUAAAAGUAGAAGUAGUCGUUGGCGUGACAACUUCAUGAAGACACGAUGAUGGAGAUCAUGAUGAUGGAGAUCAUGGUGUCAUGCCGGUGACGAUGAUGAUCAUGGAGCCCCGAAGAUGAAGAUCAAAAGGAGCAAAAUGAUAUUGGCCAUAUCAUGUCACUAUUUGAUUGCAUGUGAUGUUUAUCAUGUUUAUGCAUCUUGUUUACUUAGGACGACGGUAGUAAAUAAGAUGAUCCCUUACAAAAUUUCAAGAAGUGUUCUCCCCUAACUGUGCACCGUUGCUACAGUUCGUCGCUUCUAAGCACCACGUGAUGAUCGGGUGUGAUGGAUUCUUACGUUCACAUACAACGGGUGUAAGACAGUUUUACACAGCGAAAACACUUAGGGUUAACUUGACGAGCCUAGCAUGUACAGACAUGGCCUCGGAACACGGAGACCGAAAGGUCGAGCAUGAGUCGUAUGGUAGAUACGAUCAACAUGAAGAUGUUCACCGAUGAUGACUAGUCCGUCUCACGUGAUGAUCGGACACGGCCUAGUUGACUCGGAUCAUGUGAUCACUUAGAUGACCAGAGGGAUGUCUAUCUGAGUGGGAGUUCAUAAGAUGAACUUAAUUAUCCUGAACAUAGUCAAAAGACCUUUUGCAAAUUAUGUCGUAGUUCACGCUAUAGUUCUACUGUUUUAGUUAUGUUCCUAGAGAAAAUAUAGUUGAAAGUUGACAGUAGCGAUUAUGCGGACACUAGAACGCUUAUGUCCUUAAUGCACUGCUUAGUGUGCUGAACCCCAAACGUCGUUUGUGGAUGUUUCGAACAUCGAACAUACACGUUUUGAUAACUACGUGAUAGUUCAGUUAAAUGGUUUAAGUAGAGGCACCAAAGACGUUUUCGAAACAUCGCGGAACAUAUGAGAUGUUUCGAGGGCUGAAAUUGGGAUUUCAGGCUCGUGCUCACGUCAAGAGGUAUAAGACCUCCGACGAUUCUCUUAGCCUGCAAACUAAGGGAAAAAAUUUCAAUCGUUGAGCUUGUGCUCAGAUUGUCUGAGUGCAACAAUCACUUGAAUUGAGUGGGAGUUGAUCUUCCAAAUGAGAUAGUGAUGUUUCUCCAAAGUCAUUGCCACCGAGCUGCUAGAGCUUCGUGAUGAACUAUAACAUAUCAGGGAUAAAUAAGAUGAUCCUUGAGGUAUUCACGAUGUUUGACACCGCGAAAGUAGAAAUCAAGAAGGAGCAUCAAUUGUUGAUGGUUGGUGAAACCACUAGUUUCAAGAAGGGCAAGGGCAAGAAGGGAUACUUCAUGAAACGGCAAAUCAGCUGCUGCUCCAGUGAAGAAACCCAAGGUUGAACCCAAACCCGAGACUAAGUGCUUCUGUAAUAAGGGGAACAGUCACUAGAGCAGAAUUACCCUAGAUACUUGGUAGAUGAGAAGGCUGGCAAGGUCGAUAGAAGUAUAUUGGAUAUACAUUAUGUUAAUGUGUACUUUACUAGUACUCCUAGUAGCACCAGGGUAUAAGAUACCGGUUCGGUUGCUAAGUGUUAGUAACUCGAAAUAAAAGCUACGGCAUAAACGGAGACUAGCUAAAGGUGAGCUGACGAUAUGUAUGGGAAGUGUUUCCAAUGUUGAUAUGAUCAAGCAUCGCACGCUCCCUCUACCAUCGAGAUUUGGUGUUUGCGUUGAGCAUAGACAUGAUUGGAUUAUGUCUAUCGCAAUACGGUUAUUCAUUUAUAGAGAAUAAUGGUUACUCUAUUUAUUUGAAUAAUACCUUCAAUGGUCUUGCACCUAAAAUGAAUGGUUCAUUGAAAUCUCGAUCGUAGUGAUACACAUGUUCAUGCCAAAAGAUAGUAAUGAUAGUACCACCUAUGUGUGGCACUGCCACGUAAGUCAUAUCGGUAUAAAAUGCAUGAAGAAGCUCCAUGUUGAUGGAUCUUUGGACUCACUCGUUUUAGAAAAGUUUGAGACAUGCGAACCAUGUCUAUUGGUGUAUACGCAUGAAGAAACUCCAUGCAGAUGGAUCGUUUGGACUCACUUGAUUUUGAAUCACUUGAGAUAUGCAAAUCAUACCACAUGGGCAAGAUGACUGAAAAGCCUCGUUUUCAGUAAGAUGGAACAAGAUAGCAACUUGUUGGAAGUAACACAUUUUGAUGUAUCCAAUCCAAUGAGUGCUGAGGCAUGCAGUGAAUAUCGUUAUGAUCUUACUUCACAGAUGAUUCGAGUAGAUGUUGAGAAUAUUUACUUGAUGAAAUACAAGUCUGAAUUAUUGAAUGGUUCAAGUAAUUUCAGAGUGAAGUAGAAGAUCAUUGUGACAAGAGGAUAAAAUGUCUAUGAUGUGAAUAUCUAAGUUACGAGUUUUGGCACACAAUUAAGACAUUGUGGAAAUUGUUUCGCAAUUAAUACCGCCUGGAACACCAUAGUGUGAUGGUGUGUCCGAACAUCAUAGUUGCACCCUAUUGGAUAUGGUGCGUACCAUGAUGUCUCUUAUCGAAUUACCACUAUUGUCCAUGGGUUAGGCAUUAGAGACAACCACAUUCACUUUAAAUAGGGCACCACGUAAUUCCGUUGAGAUGACACCGUAUGAAUUAUGGUUUAGAGAAACCUAAGUUGUCGUUUCUUAAAGGUUUGGGGCUGCAACGCUUAUGUGAAAAAGUUUCAGGAUUGAUAAGCUCGAACCCAAAGCGGAUAAAAUGCAUCUUCAUAGGACACCCAAAACAGUUGGGUAUACCUCCUGUCUCAGAUCCGAAAGCAAUAAGGGAUUGUUUCUAAAAUCAGGUACUUUCUCGAGGAAAAGUUUCUCUCAAAAGAAUUGAGUGGGAGGAUGGUGGAGACUUGAUGAGGUUAUUGAACCAUCACUUCAACAAGUGUGUAGCAGGGCACAGGAAGUUGUUCCUGUGGCACCUACACCAAUUGAAGUAGAAGCUUAUGAUAGUGAUCAUGAAGUUUCGGAUCAAGUCACUACCGUACCUUGUAGGGUGACAUGGAUACGUACUACUUCAGAGUGGUACGUAAUCAUGUCUUGGAAGUCAUGUUGCUAGACAACAAUGAGCCUACGAGCUAUGGAGAAGCGAUGGUGGGCCCGGAUUCCGAUAAAUGGCUUGAGGCCAUAAAAUCCGAGAGAGGAUCCAUGUAUGAAAACAAAGUGAAGACUUUGGUAGAACGGCUCGAUGGUCGUAAGGCAAAUGAGUACGGAUGGAUUUUAAAAGGAAGACAGACAAUGAUGGUAAGAAUUACCAUUAAGAAAGCUCGACUUGUCGUUAAGAUGUUUUCCGACAAGUUCAAGGAGUUGACUACGAUGAGAUUUUCUCACUCGUAGCGAUGCUAAGAGUCUGUUGGAAUUAUAUUAGCGAUUACUGCAUUAUUUAUGAAAUCUUGCAGAUAGGAUGUCAAAACAUUGUUUCCUCGACGAUUUUCUUGAGGAAAGGUUGUAUGUGAUACAACCGGAAGGUUUUGUCAAUCCCAAAAGAUGCUAAUAAGUAUGCAAAGCUCCAGCAAUCCUUCUAAGGACUGGAGUGAGCAUCUCGGAGUUGGAAUGUAUGCUUUGAUGAUGAUCAAAGAUUUUGGGUUUGUACAAAGUUUAUGAGAAACUUGUAUUUCCAAAGAAGUGAGUGGGAGCACUAUAGAAUUUCUGAUGAGUAUAUGUUGUUGACAUAUUGUUGAUCAGAAAUGACGUAGAAUUUCUGGAAAGCAUAUAGGGUUAUUUUGAAAGUGUUUUUCAAUGGAAAGCCUAGAUUAAGCUACUUGAACAUUGAGCAUCAAGAUCUAUAAGGAUAGAUCAAAAUGCUUAAUAAUACUUUCAAAUGAGCACAUACCUUGACAUGAUCUUGAAGGUGUUCAAGAUGGACCAGUCAAAGAAGGAGUUCUUGCCUGAGUUGUAAGGUACGAAGUUAAGACUUAAAGCUCGACCUCGGCAGAAUAGAGAGAAAGGACGAAGGUCGUCCCCUAUGCUUAAGACAUAGGCUCUACAGUAUGCCAUGCUGAGUACCGCACCUGAAAUGUGCCUUGCCAUGAGUCAGUCAAGGGGUACAAGAGUGAUCCAUGAAUGGAUCACAGACAGCGGUCAAAGUUAUCCUUGGUAACUAGUGGACUAAGGAAUUUUCUCGAUUAUGGAGGUGGUAAAAGAGUUCGUCGUAAAGGUUACGUCGAUGCAAGCUUAACACCUAUCCGGAUAGCUCUAAGAAGAGAUACCGGAUACGUAUUAUGGGGCAACAAUUUAGAAUAGCUCCAAGUAGAACAGUUAUUUGGAAUAGCUCCAAAUAAAGCGUGGUAGCUACAUCUAGGAGAUGACAUAGAGAUUUGUAAAGCACACACGGAUCUGAAAGGUUUGGACCCGUUGACUAAAACCUCUCUCACAAGCAACAUGAUCAAACCUAAAACUCUUGGGUAUUAAUCACAUGGCGAUGUGACCUGUGAGUGUUAAUCACAUGGCAAUGUGAACUAGAUUAUUGACUCUAGUGCAAGUGGGAGACUGUUGGAAAUAUGCCCUAGAGGCAAUAAUAAAAGUAUUAUUAUUAUAUUUCCUUGUUCAUGAUAAUUGUCUUUUAUUCAUGCUAUAACUGUAUUAUCCGGAAAUCGUAAUACACGUGUGAAUACAUAGACCACAAUAUGUCCCUAGUGAGCCUCUAGUUGACUAGCUCGUUGUGAUCAACAAAUAGUCAUGGUUUCCUGGCUAUGGACAUUGGAUGUCGUUGAUAACGGGAUCACAUCAUUAGGAGAAUGAUGUGAUGGACAAGACCCAAUCCUAAGACUAGCACAAAAGAUCGUGUAGUUCAUUUGCUAGAGCUUUGCCAAUGUCAAGUAUCUCUUCCUUCGACNNNNNNNNNNNNNNNNNNNNNNNNNNNNNNNNNNNNNNNNNNNNNNNNNNNNNNNNNNNNNNNNNNNNNNNNNNNNNNNNNNNNNNNNNNNNNNNNNNNNNNNNNNNNNNNNNNNNNNNNNNNNNNNNNNNNNNNNNNNNNNNNNNNNNNNNNNNNNNNNNNNNNNNNNNNNNNNNNNNNNNNNNNNNNNNNNNNNNNNNNNNNNNNNNNNNGAUACCGUAGGAGUGCUUUGGGUGUAUCAAACGUCACAACGUAACUGGGUGACUAUAAAGGUGCACUACAGGUAUCUCCGAAAGUAUCUAUUGUUUUGUGCGGAUCGAGACUGGGAUUUGUCACUCCGUGUAAACGGAGAGGUAUCUCUGGGCCCACUCGGUAGGACAUCAUCAUAUGCGCAAUGUGACCAAGGAGUUGAUCACGGGAUGAUGUGUUACGGAACGAGUAAAGUGACUUGCCGGUAACGAGAUUGAACAAGGUAUUGGAUACCGACGAUCGAAUCUCGGGCAAGUAACAUACCGAUAGACAAAGGGAAUUGAAUACGAGAUUGAUUAAGUCCUUGACAUCGUGGUUCAUCCGAUGAGAUCAUCGUGGAACAUGUGGGAGCCAUCAUGGGUAUCCAGAUCCCGCUGUUGGUUAUUGACCGGAGAACGUCUCGGUCAUGUCUACAUGUCUCCCGAACCCGUAGGGUCUACACACUUAAGGUUCGAUGACGCUAGGGUUAUAAAGGAAGUUUGUAUGUGGUUACCGAAUGUUGUUCGGAGUCCCGGAUGAGAUCCCGGACGUCACAAGGAGUUCCAGAAUGGUCCGGAGGUAAAGAUUUAUAUAUGGGAAGUCCUAUUUUGGCCACCGGAAAAUGUUUGGGAUUUUUCGGUAUUGUACCGGGAAGGUUCUAGAAGGUUCCGGAGUGGGGCCCACCUGCAUGGGGGGACCCACAUGAACGUGGGUAGUGGGGGCAAGGCCCCACACCCCUGGUCAAGGCGCACCAAGAUCCCCCCUUAGAAGGAAUAAGAUCAUAUCCCGAAGGGAUAAGAUCAAGAUCCCUAAAAAGGGGGGAUAACAAUCGAUGGGGAAGGAAAUGAUGAGAUUUCUUUCCUCCCACCUUGGCCAACGCCCCAAUGGACUUGGAGGGCAAGAAACCAGCCCCUCCACCCCUAUAUAUAGUGGGGAGGCGCAUGGGAGCGAUAGACGAAGUUCUGGCGCAGCCCUCCCCCUCUCCUAAGUACUUCUCCUCUCCCGCGGUGCUUGGCGAAGCCCUGCAGGACUACCACGCUCCUCCAUCACCACCACGCCGUUGUGCUGCUGCUGGAUGGAGUCUUCCUCAACCUCUCCCUCUCUCCUUGCUGGAUCAAGGCGUGGGAGACGUCACCGGGCUGUACGUGUGUUGAACGCGGAGGUGUCGUGCGUUCGGCACUUGAUCAUCGGUGAUUUGAAUCACGACGAGUACGACUCCAUCAACCCCGUUCACUUGAACACUUCCGCUUAGCGAUCUACAAGGGUAUGUAGAUGCACUCUCCUUCUACUCGUAGCUGGUUUCUCCAUAGAUAGAUCUUGGUGACACGUGGGAAAUUUUUUGAAUUUCUGCUACGUUCCCCAACACCCCUUACUUGGGUUUAAGCUUGUGUCACUCUAGCAACCCACUAUAAGCAAAUCAUAAACGUAUUGCAACACCCUACAGCGGGAAUCCCUCAUGCUUGCGCGACACGGAGGGCACAAUAGGACAACAACAUAACCACAAGCAAAUUAAACCAAUCAUAGCAAUUCAUCAAUCACCGGUAGGACAACGAAAAUCUACUCAGACAUCAUAGGAUGGCAACACAUCAUUGGAUAAUAAUAUGAAGCAUAAAGCACCAUGUUCAAGUAGAGGGUACAACGGGUUGCGGGAGAGUGGACUGCUGAAUAUAGAUGGGGGAAGGUGAUGGAGAUGUUGGUGAAGAUGGUGAAGGUGUUGGUGAAGAAAGUGGUGAUGAUGAUGGCCCCCGGCGUUCCGGCGCCACCGGAAGCAAGGGGGAGAGAGCCCCCCUUCUUUUUCUUCUUCUUCCUUGACCUCCUCCCUAGAUGGGAGAAGGGUUUCCCCUUUGGUCCUUGGCUCCCAUGGCGUGGGAGGGGCGAGAGCCCCUUCGAGAUUGGAUCUGUCUCUUUGUCUCUCUCUGUUUCUGCGUUCUCAGAUUAUGCCCAUUCACAGUUGCUUUUAUAUCCGGAGAUCCGUAACUCCGAUUGGGGUGAAUCUUUCGCCCAGAUUUUUCUCAUAAAAUUAGCUUUCUUGCGGCAAAAGAAGAGUGUCAACCGCCUUACGGGGUGCCUAGGAGAGUCCAGGCAGCGCCUGCCUCCCUGGGGCGCGCCCCCUGUCUCCUGGCCCCCUCGGGCACCAUCUCGUGUUGAUUUUACUUCCCAAAAAUCACAAACAUUCUAAAAUAAUUCUCCGUCUGUUUGAUCCCAUUUGGACUCCGUUUGAUAUGGGGUUUCUCCGAAACAUAAAACAUGCAACAGACCGGAACUGGCACUGGGCACUGGAUCAAUAUGUUACUCCCAAAAAUAAUAUUAAAAGUUGUCAAAAGUAUAUGAAAGUUGAAGAAUGUUGGCAUGGAACAAUCAAAAAUUAUAGAUACGACGGAGACGUAUUAGCAUCCCCAAGCUUAAUUCCUGCUCGUCCUCGAGUAGGUAAAUGAUAAAAAAAUAAUUUUUGAUGUGGAAUGCUACCUAGCAUAAUCUUGAUCAUAUGUCUAAUCAUGGCAUGAAUAUUAAGACAUGAGUGAUUCAAGGCAAUAGUCUAUCAUUUGACAUAAAAACAAUAAUACUUCAGGCAUACCAACCAAGCAAUUAUGUCUUACCGAAAUAACAUACCCAAAGAAAGCUCAUCCCUACAAAAUCAUAUAGUCUGGCUAUGCUCCAUAUUCAUUACACAAAAUACCCCCUCAUGCACAACCCUGGUUUCAGCCAAGCAAUUGGUUCAUACUUUUUAACGCGCUUCAACUUUUUCAACUCUUACGCAAUACAUGAGCGCAAGCCAUGGACAUAGCAUUAUGGUGGUAUAUGGUGGUGGUUGUGAGGACAAAAAGGGAGAAGAUAGUCUCACAUCAACUAGGCGUAUCAACGGGCUAUGGAUAUGCCCCUCAAUAGAUAUCAAUGUGAGUGAGUAGGGAUUGCCAUGCAACGGAUGCACUAGAGCUAUAAAUAUAUGAAAGCUCAACAAAAGAAACUAAGUGGGUGUGCAUCCAACUUGCUUGCUCAGGAAGACCUAGGGCAUUUUGAGGAAGCCCAUCAUUGGAAUAUACAAGCCAAGUUCUAUAAUGAAAAAUUCCCACUAGUAUAUGAAAGUGAAAACAUAGGAGACUCUCUAUGAAGAACAUGGUGCUACUCUGAAGCACAAGUGUGGUAAAAGGAUAGUAACAUUGCCCCUUCUCUCUUUUUCUCUCAUUUUUUUAUUUUCUCUCUCUUUUUUUUCUUUUUUUUUGAUUGGGCUUCUUUGGGCCCCCUUUUUUUGGCUUCUUUGGCCUUUUUUUUCCAUUAAGUCCGGAGUCUCAUCCCGACUUGUGGGGGAAUCAUAGUCUCCAUCAUCCUUUCCUCACUGGGGCAGUGCUCUAAUAAUGAUGAUCAUCACACUUUUAUUUACUUACAACUCAAUAUCACAACUCGAUAUCUAGAACAAAGAUAUGACUCUAUAUGAAUGCCUCCGGCGGUGUACCGGGAUAUGCAAUGAAUCAAGAGUGACAUGUACGAAAAUUAUGAGGGUGGCCUUGCCACAAAUACAAUGUCAACUACAUGAUCAUGCAAAGAGCAAUAUGACAAUGAUGGAGCGUGUCAUAAUAACGGAACUGUGGAAAGUUGCAUGGCAAUAUAUCUCGGAAUGGCUAUGGAAAUACCAUAAUAGGUAGGUAUGGUGGCUGUUUUGAGGAAGGUAAAUAAUGGGUUCAUGACACCAGCGAAAGUUGCGCGGCACAAUAGAGGCUAGCAAAGUGGAAGGGUGAGUGUGCGUAUAUCCAUGGACUCACAUUAGUCAUAAAGAACUCAUAUACUUAUUGCAAAAGUCUACUUGCCCUCGAAGCAAAGUACUACUACGCAUGCUCCUAGGGGAAGGGUUGGUAGGAGUUAACCAUCGCGCGAUCCCGACCUCCACUCAUAAGGAAAGCAAUCAAAGAACACCUCAUGCUCCAACUUUGUUACAUAACGGUUCACCAUACGUGCAUGCUACGGGACUUGCAAACCUCAACACAAGUAUUUCUCAAUUUCACAAUUACUCAACUAGCACGACUCUAAUAUCACCACCUUUAUAUCACAAAACUAUUGCAAGGAAUCAAACAUAUCAUAUUCAGUGAUCUACAGUUUUAUGUAGGAUUUUAUGACUAAUCAUGCGAAUGACCAAUUCCUGUCAUCUCUCUAAAUAGAUAUAAGUGAAGCAAGAGAGUUUAAUUCUUUCUUCAAAAGAUAUGCCCACGCUCUAACAAAUAUAAGUGAAGCAAAAGAGCAUUCUACAAAUGGCGGUUUUCUAUGUGAAGAGAAACAUGCAAUCCAAACUUCAAAUGAUAUAAGUGAAGCACAUGAAGCAUUCUAUAAAGCCAUACUCAAAAGAUUUAAGUGAAGUGAAAUGAGCAUUCUAUAAAUAAACCAAGGACUAUCUCAUACCAGCAUGGUGCAUAAAAUAAAAGUGAAAACUAAAUGCAAAAGACGCUCCAAGAGUUGCACAUAUCGCAUGAACGAAAUGAAUACGAAAACAUACCGAUACUUGUUGAAGAAAGAGGGGAUGCCUUCUGGGGCAUCCCCAAGCUUAGACGCUUGAGUCUCCUUGAAUAUUUACUUGGGGUGCCUUGGGCAUCCCCAAGCUUGAGCUCUUGCCUCUCUUCCUUUUCCUCAUAUCGAGACCUCCUCGAUUAGACACUUCAUCCACACAAAACUUCAACAGAAAACUCGGUAAGAUCCGUUAGUAUAAUAAAGCAAAUCACUACUCUAAGUACUAUAGAAAACCAAUUCAGAUAUUAUUUUUGCAUUGUGUCUACUGUAAUAUAGCUUUUUCAUGGCUUAAUCCACUGAUAGAAAUUGAUAGUUUCAUCAAAACAAGUAAACUAUGCAUCAAAAACAGAAUCUGUCAAAAACAGAACAGUAUGUAGCACUCUGAACAUUCACCAUACUUAUGGUACCCCAAAAAUUCUACCAAAAUUAGGAAACGUAAACAAGUUGUACAGCAAGACAGUGCAAAAAGAAUCAGAACCAUUUGGUGUUCCAGUAAAAAAUGUAAAAUCGCGCACUACAGUCAAAGUUUCUGUCCUGCACUGCACAAACCAACAAGCAUUGUAAACAUCCUAAAGGCAAACCUUGGCACAUUAUUUUUAUAAUACAAUGUAAUUGUACAAGGGGAUAAUUAUUUUUGUUGAAAAGUUUUCUGUAAUCAAGAUUCACAAAGUUUCCGUGAGCAUGAAAAAAGUUCAGGGCUAGCUCCCACUUCAACAAUGCUUGUCUUUCUCACUUUCACUUUCCUUUUUGAAAAGUUUUUAGGUUCCCCUCUUUAUUUUUUUGUUUUUAAACUAUAUGAAAGCACUCAACAGAAAUAAAUGACUCUCUAAAACUUUCGGGUUGUCUCCCUGGCAGCGCUUUCUUUAAAGCCAUUAAGCUAGGCAUUUAGUGCUCAAGUAAUGGAUCCACCAGGAUUCCAAGGUAUAUCAAAGCCAAUUUUAAUUAACAAUGAUUUGUAAUUUAGUAGUGAGCAUAAAGUAACAUAUAUCAAGCAAUGACAAAGUCUAACUCUCUUUCUAUGCAUCGGCAUGUCAUAAAAGAACAAUUCAUGCACACAUAGUAAAUGCCAAUGCAUAAUAUAAGCAGUUUCUUGCAAUUCUAUCGUGUUAGAAACAUAAAGAGGCGGAGAUGUAGUUCCUCUCUCAUAAUAAUUGCAAGUAGGAGCAGCAAGCACAUGCAUAUCACAUUCAUCAAAAUUAUCAUGUGCAAUGGUAAAAGGCAACCCAUCAAUAUAAUCCUUAAUAAGCACAAACUUCUCCGAUAUAGUGUAGUCGGGAGAAUUCAAAAAGAUAAUAGGACUAUCAUGCGUGGGUGCAAUAGCAACAAUUUCAUGUUUAACAUAAGGAACUAUAGCAAGUUCAUCUCCAUAAGCAUAAAUCAUAUUGGCAUCUUGGCCACAAGCAUAGCAAGUAUCAUCAAAAAGGGAUAUUUCAAGAGAAUCAACGUGAUCAUAACAAUCAUCCUUCGGUAAGUACGAAGGAAAAUUAAACAAUGUAUGAGUUGAAGAGUUACUCUCAUUAGAAGGUGGGCACGGGUAGCUAAUCCGCUCUUCCUCCUUUUGUUCUUCGCUCUCCUCAUCAACUUUUUCAUCCAAUGAGCUCACAAUUUCAUCAAUUUCUUAGUCUCUUCUUGGACAGCGGAGAAGUCCUCAAUAUAUAGUUUAACAUAGGCAUUAGAAGCAUAAUUAUCAUAACAGUAUUUAAAUAUGGCAAAAUUUUCAGAUUUGUAAAGAGUAGCAUUAUACUUUUCAAUCAAAGAAGCAAUUUCAUAAGCACCCUUAAAAGCAACAAAUUCUUCAAUUUGUUGAACAUCAUAGUAAUUAUAAACACCCUUAGCAUACGAAGAUACGAUUCCAUUAUCAAUAAACUCACAUUGGUAGGGAAGGUGUUUCUUAGGGUUUUCAGAACAACAAGUAACAUUAUAUAUUUCACAUAAAUUCCAAGCAUAGCAUUGCAAAUGAUGAAUUUGAUCCAGUAAAAGUUUCCCUUUUUCAGAUAUACGGUGUCGCACAUAACAAGCAUGCUCAUCUAAAGAUUUUCCCUCAACUAAGCUAGUGGGGGUUUCAGCACGAGCACAAAGGGAUCGAAGAUGAUCCAAGUCAAAAGCUUCAGGAGUGUGAUAGAUUUUGAGUGGUUCUUCAACCAUUGGUGUAGUAGGUACAACUAAUUUUUUUGGUUGCGUUUCCUACCCAUAACUAAAGAUAGAAAACAACUAAGAAAAGCAAAUAAAAUUUACUUCGUGAUAAAGCAAACAAGCACACACGAGAAUAUUCACCACACGCUAUGACUCCCCGGCAACGGCGCCAGAAAAAGGUCUUGAUAACCCGCAAGUAUACGGGAUCAAUGUAGCCUCUUUCGAUAAGUAAGAGUGUCAAACCCAACGAGGAGCUAAAGGUAGAACAAAUAUUCUCUCAAGUCCUAUCUGCCACUGAUACGACUCUACGCACGCUUAGUGUUCGCUUUACCUAGAACAAGUAUGAAACUAGAAGUACUUUGUAGGUGUUGUUGGAUAGGUUUGCAAGAUAAUAAAGAGCACGUAAAUAUAAACUAGGGCUGUUUAGAUAAAGAUGCAAAUAAAUAAAUAUAGCGAGUGUGGAAAAGUGGUGGUAGGAGUUGUGAAAUUGUCCCUAAGCAAUUGACUACUUUACUAGACCGAUAGCAAGUUUUAUGUGGGAGAGGCAUAAGCUAACAUACUUUCUCUUCUUGGGUCAUAUGCACUUAUGAUUGGAACUCUAGCAAGCAUCCGCAACUACUAAAGAUCAUUAAGGUAAAACCCAACCAUAGCAUUAAAGUAUCAAGUCCCCUUUAUCCCAUACGCAAUAAUCCCCUUACUCGGGUUUAAGCUUCUGACACUCUAGCAACCCACUAUAAGCGAGUCAUGAACAUAUUGCAACACCCUACAGCGGGAAUCCCUCACGCUUGGACGACACGGAGGGCACAAUAGGACAGCAACAUAACCACAAGCAAAUUAAACCAAUCAUAGCAAUUCAUCAAUCACCGGUGAGACAACGAAAAUCUACCCAGAAUCAUAGGAUGGCAACACAUCAUUGGAUAAUAAUAUGAAGCAUAAAGCACCAUGUUCAAGUAGAGGGUACAGUGGGUUGCGGGAGAGUGGACCGCUGAAUAUAGAUGGGGGAAGGUGAUGAAGAUGUUGGUGAAGAUGGGGGAGGUGUUGGUGAAGAUCGCGGUGAUGAUGAUGGUCCUCGGCGGUGUUCCGGCGCCACUGGAAGCAAGGGGGAGAGAGCCCCCUUCUUCUUCUUCUUCCUUGACCUCCUCACUUGAUGGAGAGUCCAGGGCGCGCCUGCCUCCCUGGGGCGCCCCCCUGUCUCCUGGCCCCCUCGGGCACCGUCUCGCGUUGAUUUUACUUCUCAAAAAUCACAAAUAUUCCAAAAUAAUUCUCCGUUCGUUUUUAUCCCGUUUGGACUCCGUUUGAUAUGAGAUUUCUGCGAAACAUAAAACAUGCAGCAGACAGGAACUGACACUGGGCACUGGAUCAAUAUGUUAGUCCCAAAAAUAGUAUAAAAAAUUGUCAAAAGUAUAUGAAAGUUGAAGAAUAUUGGCAUGGAUCAAUCAAAAAUUAUAGAUACGUUGAAGACGUAUCAAGCAUUCCCAAGUUUAAUUCCUGCUCGUCCUCGAGUAGGUAAAUAAUAAAAACAAUAAUUUACGAGGACAUGUAUGAAUAGAGAGAGCAUGAGCUGAAGGCUAACAUUGUUUGCCAUUUGAACUAUUUAACUCGUUAACAUAGUUCCACAUAGAUAAAAUACAGAGCUCUACGGUGGACCGAAUAGAUAGCAUUCGCAGGAUGCUUCUAUGUUGCAUGAGGUCACGAGUUUGAAUCCCCUUGAUAGAAUUACAGUUCCUUUUGUUUGUUUUUUCUACCAUCUACCAGGACCUGUAUGAGUAGAGAGAGCACUGUUUUUUCGUGAACUAUUUCACCAGCCAAGUGAGCUACGUAACCACAAAUCGUAUUGAAUAACGGUAGGCGUAUUCCAAAGUAUAUGGAUCAAAGUGUGCUUCCACAACACUCUGUUUGUUGAACGCCAGUGUAUUUUUAACUAUUUAUUUACUUGACGAGAAUCAGAUGAACCCUUUCUUCCAAAAAAAAUAUAUAAUAAAAGGAAGCUAACUAUUUUCCCUUCAUUUCUUUCUGUUGUGCUUCCAGUAAAGGAACACAUUUUUGAUAAAUACCCAAAUGCUUUCUCAAAUAUGCAUGAACAUAUUUUAAAAGUAGACGGACAUUUUCUUCUAACAAGCGUGAACACUUUUUAAAAUUGCAAGAACAUUUUCAGACAUGAGAGACUUUUUAACACUGUUUUAAAACUGCAACCGAGCACUUUUUUAAACUACAUGAAAAAAUUUAAAUACCAGGAUGAACAUUUUUUAAACACAGAAUGGGCUUUNNNNNNNNNNNNNNNNNNNNNNNNNNNNNNNNNNNNNNNNNNNNNNNNNNNNNNNNNNNNNNNNNNNNNNNNNNNNNNNNNNNNNNNNNNNNNNNNNNNNNNNNNNNNNNNNNNNNNNNNNNNNNNNNNNNNNNNNNNNNNNNNNNNNNNNNNNNNNNNNNNNNNNNNNNNNNNNNNNNNNNNNNNNNNNNNNNNNNNNNNNNNNNNNNNNNNNNNNNNNNNNNNNNNNNNNNNNNNNNNNNNNNNNNNNNNNNNNNNNNNNNNNNNNNNNNNNNNNNNNNNNNNNNNNNNNNNNNNNNNNNNNNNNNNNNNNNNNNNNNNNNNNNNNNNNNNNNNNNNNNNNNNNNNNNNNNNNNNNNNNNNNNNNNNNNNNNNNNNNNNNNNNNNNNNNNNNNNNNNNNNNNNNNNNNNNNNNNNNNNNNNNNNNNNNNNNNNNNNNNNNNNNNNNNNNNNNNNNNNNNNNNNNNNNNNNNNNNNNNNNNNNNNNNNNNNNNNNNNNNNNNNNNNNNNNNNNNNNNNNNNNNNNNNNNNNNNNNNNNNNNNNNNNNNNNNNNNNNNNNNNNNNNNNNNNNNNNNNNNNNNNNNNNNNNNNNNNNNNNNNNNNNNNNNNNNNNNNNNNNNNNNNNNNNNNNNNNNNNNNNNNNNNNNNNNNNNNNNNNNNNNNNNNNNNNNNNNNNNNNNNNNNNNNNNNNNNNNNNNNNNNNNNNNNNNNNNNNNNNNNNNNNNNNNNNNNNNNNNNNNNNNNNNNNNNNNNNNNNNNNNNNNNNNNNNNNGCAGAUUCGGAAACGACGGCGCCCGGGUGGUGAUCUGCGCGUUUCCCCAGGGGCAUCGCGACCCAUCCCUCUCACCUGAGCGCGCUCGUCAGAGUAGGACGGGGAUCUAUUUUCCCCCCACUUCGAUCCAGGCUGCCUGCGUCUUGUGGAUUGUCGUUAAGCUUGUUCAGGUUUAGAACUGUAUGUGGGGGGGAACAAUGCCACGGCAGCAAUCUGCUUCCAGCAAUGCUUUGGGUUUUUGGCUGAUUGGAUCAAGUUGGGGUUGGUAUUUACUUAGUUGCUGCCAAAUUUUUGAGUUGUUGAAGUAUAAAAUUAGGGUUGGUUCAUGGAUAGAUCUUUAGGCAUAGCGACUCUGAUGUUUGCUUAUAUCUGACUAGUUCUUUGAUCUGUGGUGCGCAGGCUCGUGGGCGGAGCUGGCGACAUCAAGCUGACCAAGGACGGGAACACCCUCUUGAAAGAAAUGGUAUUAUUAAUUAAAGGAGCUGGUGACAUCAUGCUCUUUCGUCCGGUUUCUGAGGCUUUUGUGUUGUUGCUAUUCGCAGCAAAUCCAGAACCCAACGGCAAUCAUGAUUGCGAGGACGGCGGUGGCGCAGGACGACACGAGUGGCGAUGGCACCACGUCCACUGUGCUUUUCAUCGGGGAGCUUAUGAAGAUGUCUGAGCGAUGCAUCGAAGAAGGUCUGUAUAUGGGGUCCCGUCCCUCUUAUCUGCUUUUGAUGAUUCUAAUCACUGAUAUAUAUGGUUGUUGCUGCAUGAAAUUUGCUGCUUGCAUUUGAAAUGUUAUUUAGGCAUCUGUGGGAGCUCUAUAAAGUUAAAUGUGAUUAUCCUUUUCAUAGGGUGUGUACCCCCUUUUGGCCAAAUAUGUGCUUGUGCGAUGUUUGCGGUUAAUCUUUCUGAACUGUAUUCUUCUGCUGGGGAUCAUGGGCUGGUAUUCUGGCUCAAUGCAUCCAAUUAGUUGAUUAGGAUUACGAAUGUCUGCUUUUACAUAGUAAUGCAAUAUUCACAUGUAAACACAAGUGCCUACACAGUAAGUGAAGAUGAAUAAUAGUUGACCUGUGCCAUUGUUUAAUGUUUAUGGGUGUUGCAUCCUUGAGAUAUUUGAAUGUGACUGUAGCACAACUAAUUGACUGGAUCAAAGCCAACUGAAGAUAGAGAGUAGUGCAGUAUAAUUUUAAAUUUUUACUAGUUUUGAGAUAAAGACUACUCUUGCAGCAUGUCAACAUGAAUUUUGUGGACAAUAUUGUGCUCUGAACAUGCAUUUCCCAGUUGAUUGCUACACAUUAUGGCGAAAAGAUUAACCUUAACAUAUGGGCCUUCUGCUCUAAACUUGUGACAAAAUGUUGCCUCUAAUUGCUGUGCUGUUUCUUAGAGGGAAAACCCAUGUGUUUAUAUGGUAGCCUGCUCCUUGCUAUAAGUACAUAGUAACAGAUUGUUAUUUUUGCAGGUACUCAUCCACGGUUUUUGGUUGAUGGCUUUGAGGUUGCCAAGAAAGCAACUCUUGAAUUUCUCGAGACAUUCAAGACAGCAGUCGUUAUCGGUGAUCAACCUGACAGGGAGAUCUUGAAAAUGGUAGCAAGAACAACUCUUAGGACAAAGGUGAUUGCACUCUAUUUCACCAUUUUUCUUUGGAAACAAAUGUACACAUAUAUACCAAGGCUUACACAAAAUUUGAUAUUUUGUAGCUGUAUGAAUCAUUGGCUGAUCAGUUGACCGAUAUUGUUGUGAAUGCGGUAAUGUUAUAUUUCUUUUACAGUGUUUCCUUUGGAGGCUUUCAUUCCACAAAAUGGCUUAGCAUAUUUCUAUUUUCUGCAUGGUCCAUGCUGUAGGUCCUAUGCAUCCGCCAGAGUGAUCAACCAAUUGAUCUUUUUAUGGUGGAAAUAAUGCAUAUGCGCCACAAAUUCGAUGUCGACACACGUCUGGUAUGUAUUUUUUUCUUUUCUUUGCAGUUUGCCUAGUAUAACAUCCUUCUGAACUUCAUAGACCUUUGGAUAAAUAGUUCAUAUGUAUUUUCUGUCACGAGCUUGUGAACAUGGUUGAACACCUGUUCGUUUGUUUUUUUGUAGAUUGAGGGUCUGGUCCUUGACCAUGGUUCUCGGCACCCUGACAUGAAGCGCAGAGCAGAGAAUUGUUACAUCCUGACAGCUAAUGUGUCACUGGAAUACGAGAAAAGGUGCAUACUUUUGCAUAGAGUGCUUUGUUGCAUACUCUAGUUCUAUUAAUCACCAUAGUACAUUCUUUCAAUUUGACUGCACCAAAUAUAGGAAGGUUCAUGCUUCAAUAUUUGUCAAAAACAUGAAUCUUACCUACAAUCAUGGACUUCAGUCAGCUUAUGUUACUUUCUUGCAUGUUGUGGGGCAACUAGUAGUGCACAGCAGCAGUCUGUCUUUACCUGUUUUACAUGCAUCAGUGAAGGGAACUGUUUAACUGACGCAUAAGUUUCUCAGUGAAAUCAAUGCAGGAUUCUUCUACUCAAACGCAGAACAAAGAGAAAAGAUGGUUACUGCAGAGAGGCGUCAAGUUGAUGAACGUGUCCAGAAGAUCAUUGAAUUGAAAAAUAAGGUAUUUGCUUAGCGUCUCUCUCUCUCUCUCUCUCUCUCUCUCUCUCUCUCUCUCUCUCUCUCUCUCUCUCUCUCUCUCGUGCGCGUUUGGAAAAUGUUGUCUUCACGUGUUUCCUUGGCCAUGCAGGUUUGCGCAGGAACUGACAAGAAUUUUGUGGUGAUCAACCAAAAGGGCAUCGAUCCUCCAUCCCUCGAUCUCCUAGCUAGAGCUGGGGUAACCAAUUCUGACUUGUUUCUACAUGAUGUUUCUAAUUUGCUUACAUUCAACCUUGAUCUGUUUGGGGUUCCAGUUAAAAAUUUGUCUCAUGGUGUCACCAGCUGAACUUGUAACAUGAAAGUUGAUAUGACAUUAUACAUAAUGUUACUCUAUAAGCCACAAGAUGUAACUAUCUAAAACCUAAGCAUGACGGUCAAUAUUUCAAAUGAUGGCAAUGCAAUAAAUUAUUCAGCUUUCAGUUCAUGCAUUGUUAAUUUUGAAGUAACAAGUUCUUGCAUGGGGGCCUUGUUACAUUUUAAGCUCAAGAAUUUGCAUGCUGCAGAUUAUUGCUCUCCGAAGAGCGAAGCGGAGGAACAUGGAGAGACUUGUGCUAGCAUGUGGCGGUGAAGCCAUCAAUUCAGUUGAAGGCAUGACUGAAGACUGUCUUGGCUGGGCUGGGCUUGUCUAUGAGCAUGUUCUUGGAGAAGAAAAAUACACGUUCGUGGAGAAUGUUAAGAACCCUCACUCCUGUACAAUUUUGAUCAAAGGUCAGUUCAUUCUCGAGAAACAAUAGGAUCUUUUCCAAAACUACCUAUGUUGGAAACUUACUAUAAAUUCAUCUCUCUUCAGGACCUAAUGAUCACACCAUUGCACAAAUUAAGGAUGCCGUACGAGAUGGUCUAAGAUCUGUGAAGAACACAGUUGAGGAUGAAGCUGUUGUGCUGGUAUGAUUUGUAAAUUUAUUCUGCAUGACAGCAACUAAACAAAUGUUUGGCUAAAUAAAUAUGCACAUUUGAUCAUCAUAUAGCUGAGCUUAUGCUAACGAUAUGUGGGUCUUGAUUUUCAAAGGGUAUUGGCUUUGAUUAGGAUUUCGUAGUUUGCAUGAUGUGCCUGGAACUUUAUGAACUACUUGACCAUAGUAAUUUGUCAUUAUAUUUUUACCUUGGAUGCCAUCCUGGUGCGUUCAACUUGAUUUAUGUUGAGGCAUUACUUGUAUUGUUUGUUUGGGUCAGGUGUGACAUACUCCCUCCGUUCCUCAAUAUAAGGUGUAUUAUUUUUCCAAAAAGUCAAACUUCUCUAAGUUUGACCAAGUUUAUAGACAAAAAUAUCAAUAUCUAGAAUACCAAAUCACUAUCACUAGAUUCAUCAUGGACUAUAUUUUUACAUUUUAUAUAUUUAGUAUUAUAAAUCUUUAUACAUUUUGCUGUAAAGUUGGUCAAACAUAGACAACAGUUGACUUUUUAAAAAACUAAUACACCUUAUAUUUAGGAACGGAGGGAGUAAUUCAUAGAGUUAAUAGUGUUGAUGCUAAUUGAUUAUGUUACUCUUAAUGAUUUUCUUACAUGCGACUGACCGGUUGCUUAUGGCAUCCAUUUUAUUAUCGCAGGCUGUCUUGUUUUGCUUGAGUAUCUUGCUUAUUUGCUUUGGAUCUUGGUUGACUGGUGUUUUCUUUGUCAUCUUAUUAUAUUUUCUAUUUGAUUUGUCAAUUUUAGGGGGCUGGAGCGUUCGAGAUGGCUGCAAGGAAGCAUCUCAUUGACAAUGUGAAGAAAACCGUUAAAGGAGUAAGUGCAUUGAAGAAUCGACAUGCUCUUUUCUACCGUAUCCAUAUCAGUAUGACGGUGCUAACUUUGGAAUCUUAACAACAGCGAGCCCAACUUGGGGUGGGGGCAUUUGCCGAUGCUCUACUCGUUAUCCCCAAGACGCUAGCAGAGAAUUCGGGCUUAGAUACCCAAGAUGUUAUUGUCUCUCUUGAGGUAUGUGCUUCCACUCGUUGUAUUGUUUCUUCCUUGCACUUAUUUUGUCUCGAGUUUGUGCAUCAGAAAAGUUGUAACUGUAUGUGUCGGCUGAUGUUCCAUCCUGUACAACAGAAUGAGCACGACCGUGGGCUGGUGGUGGGGCUGAACCACAACAGUGGCGAGCCGGUCGACCCUGAGAUGGAAGGCAUCUACGACAACUACUCGGUGAAGCGCCAGAUCGUGAAUUCCGGGUAUGUGACAAUACAAUGUUCAAUUCUGAGUUCAUUCUCCAAAAGAAAAAAGAUGAGUAUUAUUUGUGACGUGCGUUGACAAACGGUCUUUGGUUGUCUGGUGGUGCAGACCCAUCAUCGCGUCGCAGCUGUUGCUAGUGGAUGAGGUGAUCAGGGCAGGGCGCAACAUGAGGAAACCAACCUAAACCCAGCACUCGCCCCUUCUAGGCCGAGACAAGUUUUUGUUUGGCUAUUUUUCUCUCUGGUGCCGAGUACUUAGCAAGUAGUGAUGUGGUGGGGGUGGAAUGCUUGAUUGGAAGAGAUUGUACUUGUAACGACCCUCGUGACAACGUUUGUAUGCAGAAUGUUUUCGUGUUGGAUCAAAGUUGAGCAGCUAUGUAUUUUUGUGUGUGCGUGCGUCUGGUGAUUGCAUUCUUUUUUCUAUUGAGCAAAGCCUGCCUGAAAAGAUAUGGUUGUAGCAUGUCUGGUCGUUUUUGGUUGUUGCGCGUCCCAAGUGGAGUGACACUUUUUUGUUGCUGUUUCCUCAGUUUUGCGAUUCUGAAUUGCAGAAUGAUAUCUUCGCUGUCGGCCUUGCGUCAUGGCACGAUAAAAGGCAGUUGCUGUCUAGUUCAAUAGUUCAUUCCGGCCCAGUGAGCCCGCCCUUUUCUAGCCUAUCGAAAUAUGGGUGUAACCCCAAAAAAGAAAGAUAAAAAGCGUAGCUCCUUUUUUGAACUAUAUGCUCGUAUUUCGCCCACUUUUUGGCGACACACCUUUUAUUUGGCGCGGUCGAACAAACAGACAGACAGAGUAUUCCUGCCGUGGAACCUUGAGAUUAUUAUGCUCCAACUAUCAAAUAUAAUACUCCAUCAUCAAAUACUCCCCCGUCCCAAAAUUUUUGUCUUGGAUUUAUUUAAAUACGGAUGCAUCUAGUGACAUUUUAGUGUUAGAUACAUCCGUAUCUAGACGACGGAGGAAGUAUAAAAUGUGGCAUUGAAAGUAAUAAUAAUUAUUAUUUGUCUCUCACAAGUGUACGUCGACCUGGUCGCUUUCUUCAACGUAGGCAUCGAUCGGCCGUAUCGUAAUUGAUUGGACGGCGGAGAUAUCUGAAAAGGCAAACGGCCAAAAAGAAAUAAACGAGAACCAUCACACUAGUACGUACGUAGUAGUAAGUAGCAGUAUCUACUCCCUCCGUUCCUAAAUGUUUGUCUUGAUCGGCUUUGGAGCUAGCAGAGCAGGUGGGAAUUUUUUUGACCCCCGCGUCGCCCCUCCUCUGGCGACACGGGGGACCCCUCGUCGCGCCGCCGCGCUCCUCCAUCUCACCUCCCUCAUGUCUCGCCGCCACUCGAGGGGGCGCCGACGAAGGCCACACGCACUCCAGGAAAGGUGGCGGCGGGCCACUUCUGCUGCUCCUCGCAGCCGUCUCGUUGGCAGAGGAGGGCGACGGGCCGUGCGGGAUCUUGCCGCUCGGAGGCGGGCGGGCGGCGGCGGCUUCCCCUCUGGCGCGGAGGUGACGGCUCGGGGCGUCGUCCGUGGCGCGUGGUGGUGCUGGCUGCGCCGUGGCCUGCAUGUCGCCGUGGUCUUCCCGUGGCGGGCGGGUCGGAUCUGGGGCCUCCCCUGCUCAGAUCCAUGAGCCUCGCGCCCACGGAUCCUCCUCGACCCCGUCCUCCUGUGCGACCGAAGCCGGGCGGCCGCAGAUCCGGCGCCGGCGUCCCCCCCCUCUACAUCGACAUCCCGUCCUGCGCCUCCACCCCGCUCGCCCUCCCCGUCCCCGCCGCCGCCAGUCCCUGCCGGGAAGAACAUCCACUCUGGUGCCCCGGCCCUCUGUCCACCUCCGACGCCGCCCCACCUCGUCUCCACCCUCCUCACCGGUGGCCUGCUCCACUUGUCCUUCCUUGGUUCACCAUCCGCCUCAUAUGUCGGUCUCGGUCCUGUCCUCUGUCGCCCUUCGACUCCACUUGGAUGGCGGCCCACCAUUGACGGAUGUGCUACGGGAGAAAUCCCCGCUGACCUUGUCAGCUGACCACGGAUGUGCUACGGGAGAAAUCCCCGCUGACCUUGUCAGCUGACCACGGCGGCGCUACUCCAGCGUCGCUUACCCUCUUGGGGGCGUGGCUCAUGUGCCAUUCCUGUCUCUCGGUCCGGAUUCGCAGCUCUCGGCUCUGCCCUCUGGGAAUUUAACCGGUUAUGCUCCAGGCGAAAGCUCUGUGACGGCGUCAUCCUCGGAUGUCGUCCACCUUCUUGAAGGCGUCACUAGGGAGCUCCUUGCCGCCAUUCAUCCUCCGUUGCUCUUGGGGGUUGGUCAUCCUCUGCUCUGCUAGCUCAAGACCCUCUCAUGCCUGUCGUCCGUUUUGGUGAGCUUCGUGCUCUUCGUGCUAUCUCGGUUCAUCUUUGCUCAACAACGACGCAAAGAUGCCUCCCCACCUUGCUAAUCGUGUCGGCUUGCUGUGGCGGAGUUUCCAGUUAAGGUUCGUAAUGGGUCACUCGUUGAUUGGUUCUGCUCCUCUGUUGUGCCAAGGGGUUGGUAUGCACACAGGUGUGGUGCGUUAGGAUAGUUGUUUAGUGUUGGUAUUGUGUUUCCUCGAUGACACACCACUUCCACUCGACUUUUAUGAUGGUGGUCUCUUGGCUUGCUGGCUAGGUAGUGCCUUCUUCGGGGCGUCCAUAUGCUCUCACCCUAUGUAAUCUUUCCCCCCUGUGUGGUUUUUCGGCCUGGUUUCCCUUAUAAACGGGGUCAACCUGUUAAGGUUUUCGAUCCGGUUUUCCUUAUAAACUGGAUCAAACACUUGGAAUUUUGGCCACUUUGAGCAAUAUAUUCAGGUGGGGAACCUCUCCCCUCCGGUGACCGUUCAAAAAAAA